AAUCAUUGAAGCAUUGUAAAUAUAAAAAAUAGCAUAAUGUAGUUGUGUUUACCAAUCUAAUAUAUCAAGUUUAUAUCAGAAGCAUUGCAUCGAUACAUACACAUCCAGUACAUAGCAAUUGAUCCAGACAACUACAAAAGGCUUUAGUCCAAAAGCAAGCCAAGACAAUCCAUUAUAACAUAACAAAUACAAUAAACCAGGUCAUGGCAUGUCUUGAUCAAGAGAGAUGCAAUGGGAGAUAAUAAACCUACUUAGUUAGGCUAUACCCUAACACUUGAUAGCUCUACCGGGUUGUCUCCUUGAUUAAAUCCUUACACAUCACGACCUUUGCGCUUUCGUGCCUCUCCAACAGACAUUUUGACAUAUAUAAACACGUCUUGUUUCAGUAAAUAGAUCAAGCAUCCCACUUGGAUAUUCAUACAUGCAACCUGUAAUCUGUAUGGCAACACAAAAAAAUGCAAACAAAUAGAGGCAAUGAGAACCUGAAUGAGAACACUAAUACAUUUGCUUGUGUAUUUUUGUGAAAAAUACUAUUGGAACUAAACCUACUGAAUGAACCAGGGAGCAAAAUCAAAUGUUUGUAGCUAACUAAUUCAGCUAUCUGAUCUAACAUAUAUUGCUCUGAACUAAAUAUAUGUGUGUAGCUGUAUAGUUCUAAACCAUAUAUAGUUCUUGGAACUAAAAAGUUCUCAUGAAUAUAUUCUAAAUUUAUCUUGUUACCAAGAAUGGUCGAAGAAACCUAUAUUAUGGCCUUACGAGUAUGCAAGUUCUACCAGCUUGUAAAAUAAUUUAGAGAAAGAGAACGAAAAGUGACAUCUCACCCACCUGAACGGGACACAUGGGUGUGGCAGGAAGGAGCAUCGUCCAUUUGGUUGCGCUUGAUCCCCUUGUGUGUGUGCCGCUGCUCGGUGGAGGGACGGAGACAUGGAGCUCACGGAUGUAGGCCACAAACGCUUGGACUCCAGGGCGGGGAGGGAGAGUUCAGCUGAGAUCUGCCUUGUAAUGUAUCAGCGUCUUACCCGGUGACGCCGAGUUGUAUUGGAAGGGGAUGGCAAGUCCUUUCCUAGAGAAGUUUUGCCCCAUCAUUACCUUCUGAUGGUUCUAAUACUUAAUGGUAUGCCCUAUUUCCACAACUCAUUAGAAAAUGCCCAUUGUGUCCUUGUAGUGCUUGAGCUUGUCUCGUACACCAUAGAAGCCAGUUCCUAUUAUUGCGUCUAUCAAAUGAAGUCUAUUGCAUGCAUUAGAACAAAAACAGAAUCACAUAAAGCGCAAAAAGGAAUGCAUGUGAGAGGAAUAAAACACACAUCACAAUAGGAUAGAUAAUAAAUGGUGUAGCCGGGGGUGGAGUCACGAGGCAUUCUAUUCAGGGCUAGGUUGAGUACCUCGAUCUGGACGUCCAGCCAACGGGGAUCUCCUUGCUCUGGACACACUUCCUCACCGGCUUCUUCUUGUCAUCCUUGUUGGCUUCCUCAGUGCCCCACUUGGUUUUGGCCUGCCAACGGCGCCAGGCUUGGACUUGGCCUCCCACUUCCACUUGAGGUCGAAGUUGUCGUCGUUGGGGGAGGCGAGCUCUGUCUCCCACUUGAGAGCCUGCCCCCCGCCACAUGCCUUCUCCCCGGUCGUCCACUUCACCUUGCGGCCCCCGGGGAGGCGGCGGCGUAGGUGUACUUGCGGCAAGCCGGAUGCGACCCCCGGGGAGCCGGCGGAGAGGGUCGCGAGCUAAUCUUCUGGAUAGACCGAUGUGCACACAUGAUUGUGCAUGAUAGAACUCCGUAAGCAUGCACUUACAAUUGAAGUACCUGUAACACAAUAAGAAUAAACUGUUGUAGAGCAAUGUAUCAAAAUAAGGGGGAAAUGCAAACUGAUUAAAGGCUAAACAUACAGAAUGAUUCAAAAGGCUAAAACUGAUUGAAGGCUACAAUAGGAAUAAAAUGUUGCAAAGAAAUGAACCAAAAUAAGAGCAAUGAAGUUCAGAUAGCAGGACCACUGACUGGCACAGUGCACUUGUGAGAAUGUGAGAUAAAGGAUAAUAGAACUGAUAUGAUUAUUUUAGAUGAGGAAGUGCACAAAUGAAUGCUUGAUGUUUAGUUAAACACAUUUCAGUAUUCUAUAUUUCUAUUUACCUUCGGCCCUUACUUUUCUAUAUUUUCUCUUCAAACCUCACUAUAAACUUUAAGCCUGAUAGCAUAUUCUACCAUCCAAUUGGCUUGUUCAGCUUGAGUACUCCAUAUGCAUUUGGGCGACGGUUUUUCUACAAGAUGAAUUGAUGGAAAAUGGAAACAUAAAAUACACACUGGCAUUUUAACCAAAAUUUGCAAGCCUGUGAUGAUGAAAAAAAUCCGAAUACAGCAAACUGUAUCUCACCCAUGCCAUUUGAAGGUUCUGAGCCAUCGAGAUAAAUUUUAUACCAAGAUUAUGGAUGCAUUCCUGUAAAAGAAUAUAAUACAUAAAAAGCAGUCAUAAACUCAAGUGUAGGUCUGUUUAAAAUUCGGAUCAAUUCUACAUCACUUGUUUGUGAAUCUCAAAGGAAACAGACCUAAACUGAGUGAAUUAGUAUGUGGUGUGCCCCAAUAUUAUUUUUAUCAACAGAAGAAUAAUAUAGAUUUAGGAAAUUGAAAAUCGAGUAUUACCAUUCAUUUCAACAGAAAAUAAAUAGUUGGUGAACAAAUAUACAUGUCUAAAAUGUAUGUACAGUAUAGAUAUUAGAGUUUAUGUUAAACGGAAAUUAGUUUCAGGUUUUUCCUUUGUCGCCUAGCAAAAUGAUCAUGCAUAAAUAAUUGGAAUUUAUCGAUACAUUAUCAUCUAUUUUUGUUCAUGUACAUCGGUUCAGAAUCUAUUCGACAACAAACAAUACAUAAAAUGCAUAAAAACUAAGUAAAAGAAAUUAUCGAUGUUGAAUCACACGAAGCAUCAAGAGUAAGCAUUCGAGAAAACACACACUGCAUGAGCCCAAACUGAACUAUGGGUGUUCAUCCAAUUCUAAAAAGGAGGUAUACAACUACACACACCGGAUACUCGAGUUCAUGGUAAUAAAUAUUCAGAGAAGAAACAUAUCACGACAGUCAUCGUAACUCAUUUCAUGAAACGGAAAUCGCAAAAAGGGGGGAGAUGCUUUCAUGGAAGAAUCUAAAAUCAUUCACUGGAAAACUAAUAUUGUUUAUCUGCUACCAAUUAUAUAUAUAUCAAAACUGAUGUAUGUACAUUAUUAAAGCAGAGCAAGUAAGAGGAAGCACAUUAUUAUUCUGAGCUAAAGUGUAUGCAGAUGGUACAAACACUUCAGGUAUAUUCUGAUUAUUCUACUGCCCCUAAGCCCAAAAGAAUGAGCAAGAAGAAAUACAUAUAUCUCAGAAAAAUAGGAUUACACAUCUGAAGAAUAUAAAUUUGUCUGAUAAAAUUCCACGCAUGACUUGCAAAAGUACUUCUCUUCCCUUUGAUCACUAUUGUGAUAUAACCUGUUAUUAUCCACCUUGAUUUAUCAUUUCUUAUGGUAGAAAGCAGAAGAUAUAACCUAUUAUUUCUACACAAAAAGUAACAGGGUAAUGUAGUGUGCUGAAUAUUGAAACCAUAUGUCUCCAGGAAGUAUUGCACCAGUCUUCACCAACAGAGAAUCUACCACAGGAAAACCCAACAGGGAAUCACCCACAAACCUGCAGGAGCAUAAGGGGCCUCUUUAACAUUACCAUGCAUACCUGCAAAGGAUGGAUUUGCUCAGCAUAGAACAUUGUCAUGAUUUAAACUUGCAGUUCACUAAAUGCUGACUUGCGCGUGGAAGCAACCAUAUUAAAUCUAGCGCAAUUAUAUCUUGCAUAGGCAAGUCACAUGACCAGGAAAUAUAUUGUACAGGUAAAUUAUCCUUGAUACCCAAAAAAAAGACCUGGACAGCACACAAGAGGGCAUAAAAUGGAAUUAACCUUCCUGCUUGAAAUUUCAUCAAACAACUUGUAGGCAUACACCAAAAGAAUCUGCACAGACAAAGAUAAGAAAUUCUAGUGAUUAAAUCAGAGAAGAGGAGGGCAUGAAAGGGAGCGCAGGUUAAUCAGCAGGAGGAGAGAGUGUAGGUACCUGUAAGAAAGGGAUGGAGAAAUUUGCAGGGGCGUGGAGGUGAAAAGUUUGGGAUGAAAAGCAGAGCCCAGCAGUGGAUGGGGACGGAGGUGGCAGUGCUUCUUCUUCGUCUUCUCAUCUUGCUCCCGUCUCCUUUUUCCAAAUCCCUCUCUCUAUCUCUUGCAGGGGAACACGGGAGGAGUAGGGUCAGGAGCUGGCAACCAAAGGGAAAGGAAGAAGAGGAACGCGGGAGAGAGAGAGACCUGUAGGUCACAACGACGACAACCAUGACAGCACCGUCGGGUAGGUGGUUGCGGUGGCUCGUGCUCCUCCUCGCCCCGUCUCCUCCGUGUGCGGCGCCGACGAACUCUAGCCGCAUCUAGGUCAGACGGCAACAGAGACAGCGGCGUAGCAGGGCCGUGCGGGCGCGAUGUGAGGGGAGGAGGACGGGCGGCGGCGGCGCAGAGGAGAGGAGGAGGUUGGGCGGCGGCGGCGCAGAGGAGAGGAGGAGGACGGGCGGUGGCGGCGCAGAGGAGAGGAGCUGCAGGCGAGGCAAGGAUGAAGCAGGGCGCGUGUGCGCGGGAGGUGGCGGCUAGGUUGACUGGCUGCACUUAUACAAGUACGCGAAAUGACCGAAAUACCCUCGGCGGGGCAGCGAAAUUACAGUCGGUGGCACAAACGAGAGGGAACUAUUCAUUGUAGCAGUGUCUGUUUUCGAUCCGGCGGCCCAGAUCGUCCGGAAGGGAGAUCCGACGGUCAAAAUCGCAUCAAAAAAUCAAUCCGACGGCCGAGAGUCGCUAAGCUAUGAGAAGCCUCAUGUUCUCCCUAGAUACUUAUAUCAGGAUUCGCGUUGCAAAUCCACUAGCAUUUUGUUCAUGAAAGAAUGUUCUUGCCUGCAAGUUGCAAUACUUUUAUUGCUAUGAAAUGUGAACUUACACAUUUAGCCAUCGCACUCAAUCUUUUACACCGAUGACCUGGUCGAGAGAGUACGAAACAUCCGCGUACACCGCGGCAGCACACUCGUCCGCCGCCUCGUCGACCGCGCCAGCACACGCCGCCUCGUCGUCCAUCGCGCCACCACGGUUGGCGGCGUUGAGGGCGUUUGUCGCUGGAAAUGCGAGCGUCGAGGAUCUCAACGCCGCAUCAUGAGGCCCCGCCUUCGGGCUUGUCCACACGCUGGCGGAGCGGGCAGCCGGUGCCCCUCCUCCGCCGGGGAGCCGCCGGAGCUCCCCCGGCGACGAGGUGGAGAGCAUCGCCAUGGCGCACGUCCCCGCUCGCUGCACUCGGCACGAUCGAUUGAGUCAAUGGUGACAGAGCCGUGGGAAGAGCCGCCAUCGACGCGACGGGCACGGCGAGAGGAUGGUCCUCUGUUUUCGAGCUUAUGAGAAGUUGAAAACCCUCUUUUCUGUAAUAGGUAAUUCUGUUUAGGGCUCAUUAUGUACUGUACAAAAGUGUGGCUAGUUUCCCCAGCGUUUUCUUUCUCUCUGUUGAGAAAUUAAAGAUCCCUCCUACGAGGUGUCAGUUGGAAAGAGGUGUCUAUUCAGUACAUCUUUUCAUCACACGUAUGUUAUCAGCACUUUGCUGCUGAUUCGAUCAACCACAACCCCGUCCACGGCAAAAAUCGACGGGCAUGCAUACAUGCGUAAAAGAGGAAAUUGGAUUAGGGGAUUGUCCGUCUUGUUUCUGAUUUUGUCUUAUUGCCAUCAAUCACGAUCUAAUAACUAUAGUACUAGUUGUGUUUUGUUUAUCACUUCUCCCGUCGUGCGCGCGUAGCGAUGGCGAGAUGGAUCAAUCGCUACUCAAACAGAAACAGGAAGAAAUCCUUGAACAAGGAAGACGCACAGAAAAUGGCACGGGCGUUGGCAUCCACGAUCAAUUGACCGGUAACUGCCCUCUCCACGGCAAGACUUGGAGACGUGGGAGAAGUUAUGCGGCGGCGCCUCAGGCCAAUCACCCUAGUUAACUCGAAGCUCUCGGCCAUGCCCAUUUUCCACAUGAUGGCGCUCGAUCCCCCCCCCCCUCCCCCCCUCCCCCGCCAAGGCCCCACCUNNNNNNNNNNNNNNNNNNNNNNNNNNNNNNNNNNNNNNNNNNNNNNNNNNNNNNNNNNNNNNNNNNNNNNNNNNNNNNNNNNNNNNNNNNNNNNNNNNNNNNNNNNNNNCAGCUCACAAGUGUCACUGCCCGAUGGGUCCAGCGAGUGUGUGAGCUGGAGACGGCCUGCGUGCCGUGGGGUUAAAAGCGGCUGCGUCCGCGUGAGUGGGAUUAUGAUAUAUUAUGACAUAACCGAACACAUGAGAGAAGCUGUUCUUCCUCGCGUCUCAUCCAGAUCCCUCUUCUCUGCCUUCCCCCUUCCCUUGAUCUCCUCCUUCCCCGCUUAGAUUGAUCGAGGCCCGUGACAAGUGGUAUCAAAGGUCACCGAUCUGGAUCCGCUGUACCAAAAAUCGCGAUACCAGACCAAGGCGGUGAAGCAAGCGGCAGCGAUGGAAGAACAGAUCGCGGCACUCGCCAAGGCGGUCAACGACAGCCGCAUCGCCAACGACGCUCGCCUCGACGCGAUCCAGCAGUCGCUCGAGUUGUGGCGGCCGGCGGUGACCAAUCUGCAGCAGCUGGACGCGCUGCGGACGCAAGUCGGCCGGAUCGCCCUUCAUCCGGCGCUCGCGUCGCCUCCGGCGACCCAGGAGGGCGCGGUGGUGCGGCCAGCGGGCGUCAACUCCGUCGACAUCCCUAGGCACCACGGGCCAAGUGGCCACGGCGAGGUCAUCGAUUCCGGGGUUUCGGCUCAUGGGGUGGUUACCACCCUGACGCCGCCUCCGGGCAAGGGUGCGUUACUCGAUCUCACACCCCCUUCUCCGCCUCUUGUCAGUCCGCAUCAGGAUUUUGAGCACGGUUCGCACCACAAUUCGCACUCCAAUUGGGCCCUUCCUAAACUGGAUUUUCCCCAGUUUGAGGGAAAGAAUCCUCAAUUCUGGAAGACUCGCUGCGAAAAAUACUUUGCUGUUUAUGGCGUGCAGCCGGAUCUCUGGGUCCGGGUGGCCACCCUACACUUCUCGGGCACGGCAGCGUGUUGACUGCAGGUCCAUGAAGCACACAACACUACAUUCACUUGGGAGACACUGUGCACAGCUCUGUGUGCCAAGUUCGGCCGUGAGCAGUAUCAAAACCAACUUCGUCAGUUUAACACUUUGCGCCAGACCAGAUCCGUAGUGGAGUACAUGGAGCACUUUGAGGAAUUGAUGCAUCAUUUGCUUUCUGACAACCCAUCCUUCGACCCGCUUUUCUUUACUACUCAGUUCCUUGAUGGUUUAAAAUCGGAAAUCAAAUCUGGUGUGGUUUUACAUCGGCCGCAAGACCUCGAUACUGCCUUUUCGCUUGCCCUAUUGCAGGAAUAGAUGGUGGGCCAGUUGCCACGACGCGACCCCGGGCCUGCUCGACAUCUACCAAGAACUGUGGUGGCUCUGGGGGCACCUCCACCACGACCAGCUCUGCCCGCUCCCGCCGCGGCUGCAGAUGACAGGCGUGCCUUGGAGGCGGCUUGAGCCGGCGAGCAACGCCAAGACCCAGCCCGCGGAGAUGAUCGCGUGGUGGCCCUGCGCAACUAUAGACGAGCGCGUGGGUUGUGCUUCAAGUGUGGGGAACGCUGGGCUCAUGGGCACCAGUGCGCCGCCACGGUGCAACUCCACGUCGUCGAAGAGCUGUUGGAGCUCCUUCAAGCCGAGGCGCAAGAGGACCUGAUGGCUGAUCCUGAUCCCGCUGAAGAUCAGUUAAUGUCGAUAUAAAAAAUGGCAACCACGGGCGAAACAACACCGCGCACCGUGCGGCUAUUGGAAAAAAUUGGAGAACUGGAAGUUUUGGUGCUCGUGGAUUCCGGCAGCUCCCACAGUUUCGUCAGUGAACAUGUUGCCGCACAGCUUCAGGAACGAGUGCAGCCUAUGCAGCCAGUGUCAGUCAAGAUCGCUGAUGGAGGGACGCUUGCCUGCUCUGGGUACAUUCCAGCAUGUAGCUGGGAGAUGCAUCAACACACUUCCACCAUGGAUGUGCGGGUUCUGUCCCUAGGAUGUUAUGACAUGGUGGUGGGGAUGGAUUGGCUGAAAGGUUGUGGCCCGAUGCUUAUUGACCGGACCGCUAAAACAAUGAAGUUCCAUCAUCAGGGGCACCAAAUUCAGUUGAUAGGGCUCCAAGCAAAUACACAAACAGUGCUGCCAGCUACCAUGGAUCAGUUGCUAUCCCUUGAGCAAACAAACUCCAUUGCUCAUGUGUUGUGGGUGUGUGUGGCUGAACAGAGUGGGGAAGCCACAGAAGUGCCGGUGGAAAUACAACACAUCCUCGACAAAUUUCAGUCAGGCUAUGAAGAGCCUACCACUCUGCCUGCACACCGAGAUGGGGAUCACAACAUUCCACUGGUGGCAGGCGCUCAACCGGUUAAUAUUUGGCCGUAUCGUUACACACCAAAGCAGAAAAGAUGAGAUGAGGCUCGGGUCAAAGAGAUGCUGUGAUCGGGACUAAUCACUGCCAGCUCAUGUGCUUUCUCUUCGCCUGUACUAUUGGUGAAAAAGAAGGACCAAACAUGGAGAUUUUGCAUUGAUUUCCGCCACCUCAACGCAAUCACUCUCAAGAAGAAUUACCCCAUGCCCAUCAUUGACGAGCUCUUGGAUGAAAUCGCUGGCUCAAAAUGGUUCUCCAAGCUUGUUCUUCGCGCUAGAUACCACCAAAUUUGCUUGGCGCCGGAGGAUGAACACAAGACUGCGUUCCGCACGCAUAUGGGACACUUCCAGUUCUGUGUCAUGCCGUACGGGUUGGCAUAUGCGCCGGCAACAUUCCAAGGAAACAUGGACAUGGUUCCGGCUCCGGUCAAUCGCAAGGGGGUUCUGGCCUUUAUGGAUGAUAUCUUGGUGCACACGAAGGAUUUGCAAACACACCGGGAGCGGUGGUCUCAAGUACUUCAGCGGUUACCGGACCAUGGGCUGAAAGAAAAGAGGUCCAAGUGCAUCUUUGCGCAGCAGCAGAUCAGCUACCUAGGGCAUGUGAUCAGCGAGAAAGGCGUAGCCACAGAUCAGACAAAAGUUCGCGCUGUCCAGGACUGCGAGGUACCCACCAAUGUCAAACAACUCCGUGGAUUUCUUGGACUCACAGGCUACUAUAGAAAGUUUCUCAUAUUCUUUGGGGUGAUCAGCAAACCACACUUACCGAACUCCUAAAAAAUAAUACCAUCUUCAUGUGGACACCAGCUGCGGAUGCCGCGUUCUCGGCCCUCAAAUGAGCUCUUGUCGAAGCCCCGGUGCUCGCGCUACCUGAAUUUCAGAAGCAAUUUGUUGUCGAGACUGUAGCACAACGGGAAUUGGCGCCGUGUUAAUGCAACAAGGGCACCCGGUAGCGUAUCUGAGCAAAGCCUUGGCCCCCAAAAACCUGGGGUUUUCAGCCUAUGAGAAGGAAUGUCUAGCUCUGCUUCUGGCAAUCGAUCAUUGGCGGCCAUAUCUACAACAUGCAGAAUUCAUUGUGCACACGGACCAGAAAAGCCUGUUGCAUCUCAUGGACCAACGGCUCAACACACUAAUUCAGCAACGGGGCUUCACCAAGCUCAUAGGCCUGCAGUUCGUGAUCCAGUACAAGGCGGGUCUCUCCAACCGAGCAGCAGAUGCACUGUCGCGGAAGGCACAUGGCACCCAGGACGAGCUUGCAACGAUCUCUGUUUGCAAACCGGCAUGGUUGGAGGCCAUCUGGCGCAGUUAUCGUACAGACGAGGUGGUUAAACAGCGCAUGGCCAAGAUAGCGCUCGAUCCACACAAUGAACCUGACUUUGCACUUCAGGAUGGAGUCCUUCGCUUCAAGAGCCAUAUUUGCAUAGGGGACGACCCGGAAACGCAACAUCACUUGAUUCGCGUGCUCCACGCAAGUGCAGCAGGGGGCACUCUGGGUUCCAUACUACUUAUCAUCGGUUGAAGCAGCUCUUUGCUUGGAAGAACAUGAAGCAGCAAGUAAAAACACUGGUCCGGGAUUGUAUGAUCUGUCAACAAGCCAAGACAGAGCGCACGUCUCCGGCCGGACUACUGCAACCACUCCCCAUCCCACAAAAGCCAUGGUCCGUUGUGUCCUUGGACUUCAUCGAGGGGUUGUCUCGCUCGGGAGGUUAUGACACAGUGCUGGUGGUGGUGGAUAAAUUCUCCAAGUACGCUCACUUCCUACCCUUGACUCACCCGUUCACAGCCCUUCAGAUCGCCAAGACAUUCAUGAAGGAGAUCUACCGUCUGCAUGGACUGCCGCUAGCAAUCAUCUCAGACAGGGACCACAUAUUCACAAGCAACAUCUGGCAGGAACUCUUCAAGCUCUGCCGGACAAAACUGAAACUCAGCUCAUCUUACCACCCGCAGACAGAUGGACAGACCGAGAGGGUGAACCAAUGCCUCGAAGCAUACCUGCGAUGCGCCAUACAUUUAUGCCCAGGCAAUUAGUCCAAGUGGUUGGCCCUUGCAGAAUACUGGUAUAACACGUCGUUUCACUCAUUGCUUGGCAGGACGCCGUUUGAGGUGAUCUAUGGAUAUCUUCCGAGGGAAUUUGGGGUCACUCAAGUGGAUAACUGCACUGUCCCAUAUCUCGCAGCUUGGCUUCAGGAACAACAAGUGAUGACGGAACUCCUCCAGCAACAGCUCAAGCGGGCUCAAGACAGAAUGAAGAUCCAAGCUGAUCGGAAGCGCACGGACAGAGAGUUUGCUGUGGGGGAUGCAGUGCUGCUCAAGUUGCAACCGUUCAUUCAAACUUCGGUGGCGCAGCGACCGCAUCAAAAAUUGGCCUUUCGGUACUAUGGCCCCUAUCAGCUGCUAGCUCGGGUGGGGGCUGUCACCUACAAGCUCCAGAUGCCGGCGGGCAGCAAGAUACAUCCGGUUGUUCAUGUGUCUCAGCUGAAGAAAGCGGAAGGGGCAACAGUACCGGUAAGUCCUGAUCUCCCUCCUGAGAACCCCAUCUUGCAGGCAGAACACACUCCCGUCGCGGUCCUGGAGAGCAAGCUGGUACAGGUGGCGGGCGAGCCACGUCCUCGGAUCCGCGUGCAGUAGAGCCAACUGCCGGAUUUCUUGUCAACCUGGGAAGACCCGGACGCUCUGCAACGACAGUUCCCUACUUCUCCGCCUUGGGGACAAGUCGGCGCACAAGAGGGGGUGAUUGUCACGUAUGACGCCAAGGCCCCAGCUGGCGGUGAGAAUGAUGAGGAGACAGGUCGUGCAAGGCACACGGCGAGCGCAUGACCAGCUCGCAAGUGUCACUGCCUGAUGGGUCCAGCGAGUGUGUGAGCUGGAGACGACCUGCGUGCCGUGGGGUUAAAAGCGGUUGCGUCCGCGUGAGUGGGGAUUAUGAUGUGUUAUGACAUAACCGAACGCACGAGAGAAGCUGUUCUUCCUCGCGUCUCAUCCAGAUCCCUCUUCUCUGCCUCCCCCUUCCCUUUAUCUCCUCCUUCCCCGCUUAGAUCGAUCGAGGCCCGUGACACGAAGCCAUACGGUGGGCCGGGUGUCCUAAAUCUUCCCCUCCUAAACCAGGCUCUACGCAUCCGGUGGAUAUGGUUCGAGAAGACUGCAUUGGACAAGCCUUGGCAGGGCCUUAAAAGAGCUUUGCUACAUCUACGUAGAGAUUUUUACGUAAUCUAUGUAAAAAGUGACCUGGCUUGAUUUGGUUGGAAGGGAAAUAGGCCCAGGCCACUCCCCCCCCCCCCGGUGAAAAUCAGGGGGGUGAUUAGUUUAGGAUUAAGGAAAGAACGUAACUUUACGUACAUGGUUACGUAAGUCUAGCAUUUUUGGCCUCAAAAUGCCCAUACAGCUUGCGAGCAAGAGCCUUGCGCUCGCGGCUAGGUGGGGAACAGAGAGUGAACAAGCUUCUGGUACGACCGGUGGAUUGAGGGCCACAACAUUGCACAGAUCGCCCCCACCUGCUCUCCUUCAUAAGGCCCGCAGGCAGAUCGCUUUGCGUGGCACAUGCCCUGCCUGACAAUGCCUGGGUAUAUGAGAUUCGCGACACCCCUUCUGUUCCUGUAAUCGCGGAAUUCCUUGAGCUAUGGGAGAUACUUCAGAACAUCACUCUCUCCAGUUAGGCCAACUCCUUCUCUUGGCGGUUGGGAAGCGCAGGAAAAUACUCCUCCCGCGUAACCUAUUCCAUCUUCUUUCUUGGGGAGGAGCUGGCUCCUUGUGCUGACGAGACCUGGAGAUCAUGGCCCCCUGGAGAUCAAAAUCUUUGCAUGGCUCGCGGUGCGCGGCCGGCUAUGGAUCGCAGACAGACUGGCGUACCGAAACUUGCCUCAUACUAGGCAGUGUCAAAUCUGUUGGCAAGUUGACGAGGACAUGACACAUAUGCUAUUGGGUUGCCCUUUUGCCAGGGAGGUUUGGUACCACAUGCUCCUACCCCUACGUCUAAAUCGUUUCACGCCUGUCGGGGGUUUGGUGCGACAUAUGCCAAAGGAUGGCUUAUCAUGAUGGGGGCUAGUAAGACGUCACCAGUGCCAGGAAACGGGAUGAGGCGAAGACAUGCACGCCGGCGAAUCUUACCCAGGUUUGGGGCUCUCCGUGGAGAUAACACCCCUAGUCCUGCUCUACGGGGUCUCCGCAUGAUCACUCAAGCAACAAUGGUGGUUAGAAGCUUGCUCCUUGAGUUGUUUUUCUAGAGGGGCAAGGAGAGCAAGUCUAGCCUUAGCUUCCUCUCUCUAUAUGGGUGUGUGGAUGAACAAGAGGCUGAACCCUUUGCAUGGGUGCCCUGGGGGUUUAUAUAGGCCUACCCCCUAGGGGUACACUAGUAAUCCGGCCGGGUGUAGGCCCGAACCGUCAGUGUCUCUGGUCGCCGGCUUCUCCGCUGGCCAGUGGGGCCCGCCGCCUGGUGGGUCCCGCUGUCUGUCCAGUACUUGGCCGACAGGCCAUACCCGCCGCUUGCGGGUCCUGCCGGCUGCCCGAUACUGUAGCAGUGCGUCUAAUGAUGCGUGCUUUGUCGGGGGAGGCGUGGCUACAGUGCCGCCGCCUGGCGGGCGUUCACUAUAGCCAUUCCCCGUCUUAUCUGGUUAAUGGCGCACCGGUCCCCAAGAGGGGGAGGGCCGCCUGGUCAACUGCCGGCUUCUACUGAGCCGACUGGCCAGGGACGGCCGCCUUCCGGUCUUCUCGUUGUCAAGUGGGGGCCGCCGCCUGCGGGCCGUACCGACAGCCCGUCGUGGGGGCACAGCCCCCUCUGACAGGGGUGACAUCAGGGUCAGCGUGGCAACAGUGCUGCGCCGAACGGAGGAGCCCGCUUGGUACGACGCAUUGUGGCCUUGCUAUGCCCUAGGCUAGGGGCGGCGUGGCAUGCUGUAGCCACGCCCCGUCUCGUCGUAUUUAUGAGGGUGCAGACUCUGAGAGUGCUUGGGGCCGCCUGCUGGGAGCCGGCCUCUCCAGAGGCCGCCUGCCAGGAGUCGGCUUGUCUUGAGGCCGCCUUCUAGCAGCCGGCCGCCUGGACCAGCCGACGACGAUAAGGUGGCGCUUUGGUCUUGGAUUCUUGAGGGGCGCAGUUGGCCCCGAUGUCUUGAAACGCCAUGGGGAGCAGAUGAGGCUACCCGUGGCUAAUUACUCCGACAGUAGUCCCCGAAGCUGGUGGGGCGCCGUGGCUGAAAGGGACGUGGGGCCGCAGCAGCUUCCUACUACGAGUAUUCUGUUGAUCUUGCUUCAUCCGUCUUCCGGAGCACCGACUGCGAGGAGUCGGACACGACCAGGCGGCUGCCUGGUGGUUUUCGAAACAUCGAGGCGGGAACCAAGCGGCGCACUGGCCUAGCCCUAGGCCAGCCGCCAGCUAUUCGCGCGCCACGUGGCGCCAGCAGGCCAGGGGUCCUGCCAGCCCACACGCGCGAUGGGACGUGGCCGCAGGCCAGGGCCCGCCACUACCAGGCCUCGGUCCGCAUGCGGAUCCGCUGUGGCCGAGGCGGACGGUUGGGCUUCUAGAGCGCAUUUACCCCGCGGUCUUUAUUGCGCGGUUACUGCGGGGACGUGGGGUGGUGGGCGUAGUUAAUCCCACGAACCCCACGCUCCGCCCCCUCGGCUUCGCAGCCCGGGGCUACAAAUAGGGGGAGGAGGGGGGCGGCAUUAGCACGCGCGCCCACCUCCUCCUUCUCCUUGCUCUUCUUCUUCCUUCUCUCCGCUGCCUCCGCACCCCCGCAGUCUCGCCGGAGUGCCGUCGCAGCUUCCCAUGGCCAAGCCUUUCUCCCCCGCGGCGCUGCUGUUCCGCCGCGGAUCCGCUCCUCCUCCACCGUGUCGCGCCUCCAUCGAGCCUUCAACAUCCAUGGCGCGCGACAAGGCGAACUCCGGUGCCUGGGACGGCUCCAACGUCCAGCAGGACCACCUCGACUUCUUGCGCGACACAAGGCGGCUGCCCGGCGCAGGCUAUGUUGAGGCGCGCAUCCCGCCGGCGAAAGAAAUGACACCGGCGCCGAGAGACGGCGAGCGCGUCGUGUUCCGGACGCAUUUCCUCCGCGGCUUCGACUUACCGGUCAGCGGUUUUCUUCGCUCCUUCCUCGAGUUCUACAACCUCCAGCCGCACCACCUCACGCCCAACACGGUGGUGCUGCUGUCGUCCUUCGUCACGAUGUGCGAAGACUACCUCGGCGUUCUCCCCACACUCGAGCUAUGGGGGGAGUGCUUCUACACCAAGCUCGGCGUCGCUGUCAAGGACGAGCCGGCUGAGUGCGGCACCUUCAUCGCGGUGCGGCGCCCAGGAGCCGGCAACCGCUUUCCCCCCAUCACUCUGAUCCAGUCUGUCAAGCUGUGGCAGAAAUCGUACUUCUACGUGAAGAACGCUGACCCAGCGGUGGACUUCCUCAACUUGCCUCCCUAUGAAGCCGGCCCGCCAGCUGAACCGCGCUCCAGCUGGACGUACAAGCCGAAGCACAUGUCGGCCUCCGGCGCUGCUGCUGUCGCCAGGCUCGAGGAGAUGACGGACCUGGAGGGUCUCCAGGCGGCCGACUUGCUGAUGGCUUUUGUGACGCGCCGGGUUCUCCCCCUCCAGGGCCGGCCUCACAUGAUUUGUCAGAUGAGUGGUCAUCUGGACCCAUGCCGGUUGUCCACCCGUGAGAUGCCGGUAGCGAAGGUGGCCCACAUGGUGAAUGAGAUCGCAAACCUCAAGCUCGCGGCGGACUGGCGGUUCGACAAGCCGCCAUACUCCCGCGCUAAUCCGCCUCCUGCCGUAAGUUCUCGAUUCUUCUCUCUUUUUUGGUCUUUAUUUCUUCUGCCAAGUUCUGGCUUGCCGACUGACCAGUCAGAUAUAUCACAGCUCCUUCCGACCGAGCAGCCGGCCGACGCUCUGGGCCAGGUCUUCAUGCCGAAUCGGGUAGUGAGUGACGCGGACGACCCCGAUUUGGGGGCGGCCACCUUGGAAGACGACGCCACAGGCGGUGGCGACAGGGCAGGCGGCUCCGGUGGAGGAGGCGGCGUUGAGGCGUGGUCGGAUGACGAUGCAGAGGAGGCCGGGCGGCGCCGCCAGCCGGCCGGCAACAGGGCGAGGGCGAGCUCCUCAGCGGCGCCAUCCGCACCAGGUGGCCCCGCCGAAGCGCCGAGCCGGCACGCAGCUGCAUGACACCCAACCGAAGAAGCCCAAGGGCUCGGCUGCGGCGACCAGACGUGAGGAGGCCACCACGAAGACUGUCCGGUUCCAGAUGGCCACGAAGCAGCCGCCGACGGUGCAUGCGUGAGUGCUUACUCCUCUUCAUGCUUUCUCUUGUUUUUUGUAAACUUCUGCUGAAUUUUCUUCAACUCGUGCGAAUCAGGGCACCGCUCUCUCUUGAGCGGUUGACCUCCUCCUCCAUCAUUGGAGGGCCGGAGGGCUCUACCAACACCCGCCGCGUGGACCCGCGCGCCGAGCUCCAGGCGGCGAUGGAGCGGAACGCGCGGGAAGCGCGCGAGGAGAAGGAGAGGGCGGACCAGGUGAAGGCGGCCGCCGCCAGGGCAGCGCAAGAGGAGGCGGACGCGGCGGCCAGGGCCCUGGCCAAUGCCUGAGCAAAGGCCCAGGCGGAGAAGGCGGCCAAGACCCAGGCGGAUGCGGCCGUCGGGGCGCAAGUGGGGGCGGCCACAGAUGGCCAGGCCCCACUGCUGAUCAUUCCGCUGCACUCCAUGCCGCCAGCGACGGAGGUCCUGGCGCCGACUGGAGGGGCCGGCAUCGACCAGUCGGCCAUGGAGAGGGAGGGGGAGACGCCAUUGUCCCAAGGCCGCAGGCACCCCAGCAGACGCCGGCUGCCGAGGCCCAAGACAGUCGGUCCAACGCGCCGCCAGCGUCUGAAGGCGGUGGCGAGCUGGUGGUGGGGGCGACCUCCAUCGUUCGGACCCCGACGUGCCGUCGCGCAGCAAAGGCGACCUCGGCUCCACGGCCCCAAGUGAUUGGAGCCUCGAGCUCAUCGGUUCCCGACGCGGAAGCCACCAGCUCCGCGCUGACGGAGUGAUUGCACGGGGGCGGGACGGGCACCCUGAUCAAGGCGGCGCAGGACGUUCAGGCCGACUUCAGGGCCGAAGCCGCCGCCCUUUAGCAAUGCAUGAAGGCGUUCGUGAAGACGCGGGCCACCGUUCGGGUAUGUAUCUUGCUUCUUGCUUUUGAUUUUUGGGAUCUUCGGCGGGGGCGCGCCAGCGCACCCGCUAGGUGUAGCCCCUGAGUUCCGGUCCGACUGCUGAGCAGUCGGGCAGGAACUUCUCAGUGGGCUCUGAGCUCUGACUCCCCUUUCUUUUUGUUGCUUCGUUACAGGACUACCACAACGUCCAUGCAGCCACCUUCAACGCCCAGAUCAGGGAGCUGGACAAGCGGACCGCGGACCUGGUUGAGAGCCAGAGUGAGCACUCCAUCCUCUUUCUUCUCGCGGGGGCGCGGCAGCACACCCGCUAGGUGUAGUCCCCGAGAUGCGGACCGAAUGCUGAGCAGUCAGGCCGGAUCUUCCGGCAACCACCUUUUCUUGCUUCUUUGUUGAAUAGUUCAAUCCAUCGCGGGGGCGCGUCAGCGCACCCGCGGGGUGUAGCCCCGAGAUUCGGGUCGACUGCUGAGCAGUCGGGCUGGAUCUUUCCAGCGUUUGCUUUGUCUUUGUUGAUCAUUGAUAGUUUUUUCUUCUUUGCCUUCGUAGGUGCCAAUGCCACCCUGCAGCAGCGACUUGGCGAGGCUCAAACCGCGCUGCGCGCCAAGGAGGCGGCGUGCCUCAAGGCGGAGCAGGAGCGUGACCGCCUGGCCAAGCAGCUAGCUGACCAGGCGGACGCCCAUAAGGCAGAGCUGCAGAAGCUCAAGGACGCAGAGGAGGCCCUCCAGGCCGAGUUCGAGAGUCAGCGCUCGAACUGGGUUGACACGCAGAAAGCCCUGGAAGCCGGCUACGUCGAGAUCGAGGAUCUGCUCGACAGUACAUUGCUCUUUCCUCGUUCUGCCUGCCGACUUAUCCCGCGUGCCUGCCUCUGCCUUCUCAUUUCUUUCUUCUUUUCCUGAGUAGAGUAUUUCCCCAACUACUCCGUCGCAGCCAGCCAGGCCGUCGCGGCCCACCGCGAUGAGCGGAGGCAAGCUGGCAUGACGGUUGCGCCGAACGCCCUUUGAAUUCUUGCCGAGGAGAUGGUCGCCAUCGAGGCUCGUCUCCAGCCGGCGCAUCGGGCUCUUCGCCGUCUUCAGCGUGCUGGAGCUCAAGUGGUCGCCGCCCUUGGGCCGGGCACUCCUAUUCUACGCAUCGCCAGCUGGACCUCCGACUGGUUGGAGGUGGCCAUCGGCCGCAUCGAGGCGUGGAAGGGCUCCUCCGCUCGGGCAGGUGCGCGCCGAGCUUUGGAGUUUGUCACCACCCUUCGAGCCGAAGCCGGCACGGAGCUGGAGGCGGUGGCGCCUCAGCUUCGUCAUCGCACCGCGGCGAUCGCUGAGUAUACAGACACCAGCGUCUUCCUCCCUGAGCAUGACGAAGCGGGUGCCGAAGUGCCGCCCAACUGGUUCGGGCUGAACCCAUAAGGCGGCGAAGACAAGGUGGAGGAGAUCGCCUCCAGCGAUGAAGGCGAAGAGGAGGAGGAUGAGGACGAGGGCGGCUGCUACCUCUUGAGCACUGCGUUGGUUUUCCCUUGAAGAGGAAAGAGUGAUGCUGCAAAGUAGCGUAAGUAUUUUCUUCAGUUUUGAGAACCAAGGUAUCAAUCCAGUAGGAGUCCACGCUCAAGUCCCACGAACCUACACAAACAAAUAAGAACCUUGCAACCAACGCGAUAAAGGGGUUGUCAAUCCCUUCACGGCCACUUGCAAAAGUGAGAUUUGAUAGAGAUGAUAAGAUAAUAUUUUUGGUAUUUCUAUGAUAAAGACUGAAAGUAAAGACUGCAAAUAAAGUAGAUCGGAAACUUAUAUGAUAGAAAAUAGACCCGGGGGCCAUAGGUUCACUAGUGGCUUCUCUCAAGAUAGCGUAAGUAUUACGGUGGGUGAACAAAUUACUGUCGAGCAAUUGAUAGAAUUGAGCAUAGUUAUGAGAAUAUCUAGGUAUGAUCAUGUAUAUAGGCAUCACGUCCGUGACAAGUAGACCGACUCCUGCCUGCAUCUACUACUAUUACUCCACACAUCGACCGCUAUCCAGCAUGCAUCUAGAGUAUUAAGUUCAUAAGAACAGAGUAACACAUUAGGUAAGAUGACAUGAUGUAGAGGGAUAAACUCAUGCAAUAUGAUAUAAACCCCAUCUUUUUAUCCUCGAUGGCAACAAUACAAUACGUGUGGUUUCCCCUACUGUCACUAGGAUCGAGCACCGCAAGAUUGAACCCAAAGCUAAGCACUUCUCCUAUUGCAAGAAAGAUCAAUCUAGUAGGCCAAACCAAACUGAUAAUUCGAAGAGACUUGCAAAGAUAACCAAUCAUACAUAAAAGAAUUCAUAGGAGAUUCAAAUAUUGUUCAUAGAUAAUCUUGAUCAUAAACCCACAAUUCAUCGGAUCUUGACAAACACACCGCAAAAGAAGAUUACAUCGAAUAGAUCUCCAAGAGAAACAAGGAGAACUUUGUAUUGAGAUCCAAAGAGAGAGAAGAAGCCAUCUAGCUAAUAACUAUGGACCCGAAGGUCUGAGGUAAACUACUCACACAUCAUCGGAGAGGCUAUGGUGUUGAUGUAGAAGCCCUCCGUGGUCGAUGCCCCCUCCGGCGGAGCGCCGGAAAAGGCCCCAAGAUGUGAUCUCACGGGUACAGAAGGUUGCGGUAGUGGAAAUAUGGUUUUGGCUCCGUCUCUAAUGUUUUCGGGGUACAUAAGUAUAUAUAGGAGGAAGAAGUAGGUCGGUGGAGCAAUGAGGGGCCCACGAGGGUGGAGGGUGCGCCCCCCUGCCUCGUGGCUUCCUCGUUGGUUGCUUGACGUCAACUCCAAGUUCUCUGGAUCACGUUUGUUCCGAAAAUCACGUUCCCGAAGGUUUCAUUCCGUUUGGACUCCGUUUGAUAUUCUUUUUCUUCGAAACACCGAAAUAGGCAAAAAAACAACCAUCUGGGCUGGGCCUCCGGUUAAUAGGUUAGUCCGAAAAAUAAUAUAAAAGUGUAUAAUAAAGCCCAUUAAACAUCCAAAACAGAAUAUAUAAUAGCAUGGAACAAUUAAAAAUUAUAGAUACGUUGGAGACGUAUCAAGCAUCCCAAGCUUAAUUCCUGCUCGUCCUCGAGUAGGUAAAUGAUAAAAACAGAAUUUUUGAUGUGGAAUGCUACUUAGCAUAAUUCUCAAUGUAAUUCUCUUAAUUGUGGCAUGAAUAUUCAGAUCCAAAAGAUUCAAGGUAAAAGUUUAAUAUUGACAUAAAAGUAAUAAUACUUCAAGCAUACUAACUAAGCAAUUGUGUCUUCUCAAAAUAACAUGGCCAAAGAAAGUUCAUCCCUACAAAAUCAUAUAGUUUGGCUAUGUUUCCAUCUUCGUCACACAAAAUAUCCCAAUCAUGCACAACCUCGGUUUCAGCCAAGCAAUUGUUUCAUACUUUAGUAUUCUCAAACUUUUUCAACUUUCACGCAAUACAUGAGCGUGAGCCAUGGACAUAGCACUAUGGGUGGAAUAGAAUAUAAUGAUGGGGGUUAUGUGGAGAAGACAAAAAAAGGAGAAAGUCUCACAUUUACGCGGCUAAUCAACGGGCUAUGGAGAUGCCCAUCAAUUGAUGUCAAUGCAAGGAGUAGGGAUUGCCAUGCAACGGAUGCAGUAGAGCUAUAAAUGUAUGAAAGCUCAACAAAAGAAACUAAGUGGGUGUGCAUCCAACUUGCUUGCUCACGAAGACCUAGGGCAUUUGAGGAAGCCCAUUGUUGGAAUAUACAAGCCAAGUUCUAUAAUGAAAAAUUCCCACUAGUAUAUGAAAGCGACAAAACAAGAGACUCUCUAUCAUAAAGAUCAUGGUGCUACUUUGAAGCACAAGUAUGAAAAAAGGAUAGUAACAUUGCCCCUUUUUUCAUUUUUUUAUUUUUCUCUUUUUUUGGGACAAUGCUCUAUGAAUGAUGAUCAUCACACUUCUAUUUAUUUACAACUCAAUGAUUACAACUCGAUACUAGAACAAGGUAUGACUCUAUGAAUGCCUCCGGCGGUGUACCAGGAUGGGAAUGAAUCAAGAGUGACAUGUAUGAAAUAAUAUGCAUGGUGGCUUUGCCACAAAUACGAUGUCAACUACAUGAUCAUGCAAGGCAAUAUGACAAUGAUGAAGUGUGUCAUGAUAAAUGGAACGGUGGAAAGUUGCAUGGCAAUAUAUCUCGGAAUGGCUAUGGAAAUGCCAUAAUAGGUAGGUAUGGUGGCAGUUUUGGGGAAGAUAUAAGGAGGUUUAUGUGUGAUAGAGUGUAUCGUAUCACGGGGUUUGGAUGCACCGGCGAAUUUUGCACCAACUCUCAAGGUGAGAAAGGGCAAUGCACGGUACCGAAGAGGCUAGCAAUGAUGGAAAGGUGAGAGUGCGUAUAAUCCAUGGACUCAACAUUAGUCAUAAAGAACUCACAUACUUAUUGAAAAAAUCUACAAGUCAUCAAAAACCAAGAACUACGCGAUGCUCCUAGGGGGGAGGUUGGUAGGAGUUAACCAUCGCGCGCCCCCGACCUCCACACAAAGGAUGGCACUCAAAGAACACUUCAUGUUUCAAAUUUGUCACACAACGGUUACCAUACGUGCAUGCUACGGGACUUGCAAACUUCAACACAAGUAUUUCUCAAAUUCACAACUACUCAACUAGCACAACUUUAAUAUCAUCACCUCCAUAUCUCAAAACAAUCAUCAAGCAUCAAACUUCUCUUAGUAUUCAACGCACUCAUAAGAAAGUUUUUACUAAUCUUGGAUGCCUAUCAUAUUAGGAUCAAUUUCACAAUUUAAGAAAAUUACCAUGCUGUUUUGUAGGACUCUCAAAAUGAUAUAAGUGAAGCAUGAGAGAACAAUAAUUUCUAUAAAACAAAACCAUCACCGUGCUCUAAAAGAUAUAAGUGAAGCACUAGAGCAAAAACUAUAUAGCUCAAAAGAUAUACGUGAAGCACAUAGAUUAUUCUAACAAUUUCCGAAUCAUGUGUGUCUCUCUCAAAAGGUGUGUACAGCAAGGAUGAUUGUGGUAAAAUAAUAAGCAAAGACUCAAAUCAUACAAGACGUUCCAAGCAAAGCACAUAUCAUGUGGUGAAUAAAAAUAUAGCUCCAAGUAAAGUUACCGAUAGACGAAGACGAAAGAGGGGAUGCCUUCCGGGGCAUCCCCAAGCCUAGGCUUUUGGUUGUCCUUGAAUUUUACCUUGGGGUGCCUUGGGAAUCCCCAAGCUUAGGCUCUUGCUAAUACUUGUUCCAUAAUCCAUCAAAUCUUUACCCAAAACUAGAAAACUUCACAACACAAAACUCGACAGAAAAUCUCAUGAGCUCCGUUAGCAAAAGAAAACAAAACACCACUUCAAGGUACUGUAAUGAACUCAUUAUUUAUUUAUGUUGGUGUUAGACCUACUGUAUUCCAACUUUUCUAUGGUUUAUAAACUCUUUUACUAGCCAUAGAAUCAUCAAAAUAAGCAAACAACACACGAAAACAGAAUCUGUCAAAAACAGAACAGUCUGCAGUAAUCUGUAUCUAACGCAAACUUCUGGAACCUAAAAAAUUCUGAUAAAUUAGGAAGUCCUAGAUAAUUCAUUUAUUAAUCUUAUGCAAAAAGAAUCAAUUGAAAAGCACGAUUCUGUGAUUUAUGAAAACUAAUCUCGUGCGUGCAAAAGUUUCUGUUUUUCAGCAGGAUCAAAUUAACUAACACCGUACGUUAUCCUAAAGGUUCUACUUGGCACAAACACUAAUUAAAACAUAAAAACACAUCUAACCAGAGGCUAGAUCAAAGAUUUAUUACUAAACAGAACCAAAAAGCAAGAAAGUAAAAUAAAAUUGGGUUGCCUCCCAACAAGCGCUAUCGUUUAACGCCCCUAGCUAGGCAUAAAAGCAAGGAUAGAUCUAGGUAUUGCCAUAAUAAUGGUAAGGCAAAUCGCGAAAACUCAUCUCAUAUUCCCUAUGUUCAGCAGCAAGUUUUCUUUGUGGCAAGCAAAAUUAAUCAAAGGACUAAAUUUAAUGGGACAAAAGUCCCCAAGAUCAAGCUCGGGAGGUAUGGGUUCCUCCUUUGGCCCCUUGUAUUGCACAACCAAUUCAUCAUUAUAAGUAUUCUUUUGGCAAUAAGUCAUGAGCAUUUGUUCAAGAUAAAAACCUAACCCAUUGUUCUGAAUGGCAAAAUCAUCAUUAAGUUCAGAAAUUCUAUCAACUAGAACAUCGGUAGGAACCUUCUUUCUAAGGUUUUCAUAGUAAGCAUCAUGAUCUAAAGAUCGUAAACGCAUUAAGUCUUCUUGAUUGAAAAGGAUAGCUUCUAUGGGAGGACGACCAGCGUCCACCCUAUAAUGCGCAAAAAUUUCAUUGGCUUCUUUCAUUAUAAAUCUAAACUCAUGUGCCAAAAAGAUAGUAGCUGCUCGCUUAACAGAAGAAUGCUCGAUAUUAGAAAACUCUAGAAAAAUUCUUUGUAUGCAAGGAUGCAUAUGAAUAAAUUGUCUUUCAAGUUCAACUAUGAGCAAGGAUAUAGCAUCCGCAAGACUACUAGUUCUAUGAAGAAUACACCCACCCAUAGAGGGUAAGGUACCGGCACAAGUAAAGAAAUCUUGAAGAACUCCUUUCCCGAUAAUAUUAAAGCUACCGAUCCGAAACUUUUUAGUGUGUAAAAUAGUAGGAUCUUCAAGAGGAUCAACAAAAACAUCAAAGUUUUCCAUACUAUUAUCCUUAUCAACGACAACCUACCCAGUUUCAGACAUGACGGCAGUACAGGAAACAAACAGGGAGCAAGCGGAAAAUAGGGCUAACGGAAAAAAGAAGGCGAAUAAAACGGCAAGGGUGAAGUGGGGGAGAGGAAAAUGAGAGGCAAAUGGCAAAUAAUGUAAUGCGAGGGAUAAGAGUUUGUGAUGGGUACUUGGUAUGUCUUGACUUGUGCGUAGACUCCCCGGCAACGGCGCCAGAAAUCCUUCUUGCUACCUCUUGAGCACUGCGUUGGUUUUCCCUUGAAGAGGAAAGGGUGAUGCAGCAAAGUAACGUAAGUAUUUCCCUCAGUUUUGAGAACCAAGGUAUCAAUCCAGUAGGAGACCACACUCAAGUCCCACGAACCUACACAAACAAAUAAGAACCUUGCAACCAACGCGAUAAAGGGGUUGUCAAUCCCUUCACGGUCACUUGCAAAAGUGAGAUCUGAUAGAGAUGAUAAGAUAAUAUUUUUGGUAUUUUUAUGAUAAAGACUGAAAGUAAAGAUUGCAAAUAAAGUAGAUCGGAAACUUAUAUGAUAGAAAAUAGACCCGGGGGCCAUAGGUUUAACUAGUGGCUUCUCUCAAGAUAGAAUAAGUAUUACGGUGGGUGAACAAAUUACUGUCGAGAAAUUGAUAGAAUUGAGCAUAGUUAUGAGAAUACCUAGGUAUGUUCAUGUAUAUAGGCAUCACGUCCGUGACAAGUAGACCGACUCCUGCCUGCAUCUACUACUAUUACUCCACACAUCGACCGCUAUCCAGCAUGCAUCUAGAGUAUUAAGUUCAUAAGAAUAGAGUAACGCAUUAGGUAAGAUGACAUGAUGUAGAGGGAUAAACUCAUGCAAUAUGAUAUAAACCCCAUCUUUUUAUCCUCGAUGGCAACAAUACAAUACGUGUCGUUUCCCCUACUGUCACUGGGAUCGAGCACCGCAAGAUUGAACCCAAAGCUAAGCACUUCUCCUAUUGCAAGAAAGAUCAAUCUAGUAGGCCAAACCAAACUGAUUAUUCGAAGAGACUUGCAAAGAUAACCAAUCAUACAUAAAAGAAUUCAGAUGAGAUUCAAAUAUUGUUCAUAGAUAAUCUUGAUCAUAAACCCACAAUUCAUCGGAUCUCGAUAAACACACCGCAAAAGAAGAUUACAUUGAAUAGAUCUCCAAGAGAAACAAGGAGAACUUUGUAUUGAGAUCCAAAGAGAGAGAAGAAGCCAUCUAGCUAAUAACUAUGGACCCAAAGGUCUGAGGUAAACUACUCACACAUCAUCGGAGAGGCUAUGGUGUUGAUGUAGAAGCCCUCCAUGGUCGAUGCCCCCUCCGGCGGAGCGCCAGAAAAGGCCCAAGAUGGGAUCUCACAGGUACAGAAGGUUGCGGCGGUGGAAAUAGAGUUUUGGCUCCGUCUCUGAUGUUUUCGGGGUACGUAAGUAUAUAUAGGAGGAAGAAGUAGGUCGGUGGAGCAACGAGGCGCCCACGAGGGUGGAUGGCGCGCCCACCCCUGCCUUGUGGCCUCCUUGUUGGUUGCUUGACAUCAACUCCAAGUUCUCUGGAUCGCGUUUGUUCCGAAAAUCACGUUCCCGAAGGUUUCAUUCCGUUUGGACUCCGUUUGAUAUUCUUUUUCUUCGAAACACUGAAAUAGGCAAAAAAACAGCAAUAUGGGCUGGGCCUCCGGUUAAUAGGUUAGUCCCAAAAAUAAUAUAAAAGUGUAUAAUAAAUCCCAUUAAACAUCCAAAACAGAAUAUAUAAUAGCAUGGAACAAUCAAAAAUUAUAGAUACGUUGGAGACGUAUCUGCGGCGAAGGCGACGCGCCGGGUGGUGAAGAUGACAGCCGGCCUCAGCCCGACCAGGUCUCGACCAACGGGCGAGAUGUCGGUGAGCCGAUUGCUGCCGGUGCUGACCAGACCGAGACCCACCAAGCGGCCGCUCCACCACUAGAAGCCUCUACCUCCGCCGGCCUCUCCGAUCCGGCUGCUGCUCCUUUGGCCUAGGUGGCCAAGUUGUCUGUCUUUUCCCUGUUUUGUAAUUCUCGAACAAAAUUUGUUAAGUUCCCGCAAUUCCACCCGCUGGGGGUGUAUUCAAACUCCGUUGAAUGCUGGCUAAGGGCCUUUUGCUGUAAAAAGUAAUCUUUUGCCGAUUUCUGACUUGUCUUGCUUUUCUACUUCUUUAGCUUUUUUCCUUUGCCGUCUUCCCUUGGCUGCCGUCUUGCCAGUCGGACAGCCGCCCUGCUUUCUGUGACUGGAUCAAGUACUUGGCCGUUUGGGAAGAACAAGUACUUCAGCCAUUCGGUAGAAUGUAGCAAUUUAAGUUAGAAAUCGGCCGGCCGGCUGCCCAGCAGCCGAUCGGCUAGGGAGGAGCCGACUCGGCCUAUGCAAAAUGUUUUAGUCUUUAGCCAUUUUUCGUGUGGCAACCGUUUCCUGCCUUCAUCUCUUGCCGGUCGGACAACCGCUCUGUGAGCUGCGGCUUGUGGCAAGAGAGGGCUUAGGUGCCGGCACACUACUUGUCCGACUGCAUGUAACAUUGGCAUAGUACAAGGCGGCAAGCUCCCGGGCCGACUGGUCGAACCCGGUGCAAGGCAGACUAGUGAAAUAACACAUUCAUAGGCAUAGAACUUAUCAUAUAGAUAAAGGGGGGUAGCCCUCGAGUGCUCCUCGAGGGCCCCGAUGUCUUAGUGCUUUAAUACAAAAGGCAGCGUGAUACAUACUGAAUCAACUGUAAAAUCUUCAGAGGAGGUUUGCAUUCCACGGGCGCUCCGAUUCCUUGCCCGAGUCGUCUCUCUUGCGAGCUCUGGGCUUCUGGGCGUCGAUGAGGUAGUAGGAGUCGUUCCCCAAUGCCUUGCUGAUGAUAAAGGGGCCUUCCCAAGGGGCCGAGAGCUUGUGCUGGCCGGCUGUUCGCUGGAUCAGCCGGAGCACAAGGUCUCCCUGCUGGAAGGAUCUUGGCUUGACCUUCCGAUUGUGGUCGCGGUGCAGACUCUGCUGGUAGAUGGCGGACCGGCUGAGUGCUAACAGCCGGCCCUCCUCCAACAGAUCGACGUCAUCUUCUCGCACCUCCUUCGCUUCCGCCUCAGUGUGCGUGGUGACGCGAGGUGAGUCAAACUCAAUGUCAGUUGGGAUGACGGCCUCGGCACCGUACACAAGGAAGAAUGGAGUGAAGCCGGUUGAUUUGUUUGGAGUGGUGCGGAGGCUCCAAAGGACGGAUGGCAGCUCAUCGAUCCAGCAGCCGGCCGACCGCUCCAAAGGCUCGAUCAGUCGGGGCUUGAUGCCGGAGAGGAUGAGGCCGUUUGCUCGCUCAACUUGGCCAUUUGACUGCGGAUGGGCAAUGGACGCUAGGUCCAAUCGGAUGCCCUGCGUCACGCAGAAACGGGCCAAGGCUCCUUUGGCAAAAUUUGUGCCAUUAUUAGUGAUGAUGCUGUGCGGUACUCCGUACCGAGUGGUGAUGUCUGCAAUGAAAGUCACGGCAGUCGGCCCAUUCAACUUCUUGAUUGGUUUUGCUUCAAUCCACUUGGUGAACUUGUCCAGUGCGACAAGCAGAUGGGUCAUGCCGCCGCAUGCUGUCUUGAAUGGUCCCACCAUAUCCAAGCCCCAGAUGGCAAAGGGCCAUGCUAGGGGAAUGGUCUUGAGUGCAGAAGCCGGUAGAUGUUGCUUCGAGCUGAACUUCUGACACCCUUUGCAAUGCUUGACUAGAUCCUUGGCAUCCUCCAAGGUAGUCGGCCAGAAGAAACCGUGGUGGAAAGCUUUGGCCACGAGUGAUCUGGAAGCUGCGUGGUGGCCACACUCGCCUUGGUGGAUAUCUCUAAGGAUUGCUUGGCCCUUCUCUGCUUCUACGCAGCGCUGGAAAACUCCAGUCACGCUGCGCCUGACGAGCUCUCUGUUCACUAUCGUGUAGGUUCCUGCUCGACGCUGUACUUGCCGGCCCGAGAUCUCAUCAGCCGGAAGCUCUCUAUUCCCCAGAAACUUGAGGAUGAGCUCUGCCCAUGAUGGUACUUGAAUCUCUUCUAUUGUCACUACAGCCACUUGCACGAGGGCGGUUGGGCCGGGAGGCGGCGGGUCGACGUUGAUUGCCGCUUGCUGCGUGGCUGAAGUCCCGGGGCUGACUGCUGCAGCCCCUGGGCCAGGUGCGACUGCUGCAGUCCCCGAACCGCUUGGUGAAGUCCCCGAGCCGCUUGGUUAAGUCCCCGGGUCGACUGGUGCAGCCCCCGGGCCGGGUUGCGAAGUCCCCGGGACGGGUGCGACUGCCACAGUCCCCGUGCCGCCUGCUGAGGUCCGCGAGCCGGCUGCUGCAGCCCUAGAGUCGGAUCCGACUGCUUCAGGAGGAGCCAGCACAAAUAUGGACUCAGAUUCUGGGGAAGGCUUGAUCGGCGGCUUGAGGAGGCGCUGAAGGGAGACACCGGCUGGUAUUGCUUGCCGGGUGGAGCUGAUUCGUGCCAAGGCAUCUGCUUGCUCAUUGUCGGCUCUUGGCACGUGAAGGAAUUUGCACCCCUCGAAGUAUCCACGGAUUUGCUGGACGAGGAAGCGGUAGCUUGCCAUAUUUGCAUCCUUGGCGUCCCAGUCACCAGAAGACUGCUGGACCACCAAGUCGGAGUCGCCGUAGCACAGGAUCCGGCGAAUGCCGAUCGCUUUGGCCAAUCGGAGGCCGUGUAUUAGUGCUUCGUACUCGGCCACAUUGUUGGAGGCGGCAAAGUGGAUUUGCAAUGUGUAUUUGAGCUUGUCGCCUUUGGGAGAGGUGAGGACGAUGCCGGCUCCCAAACCGGUGCGCAUCUUCGAACCAUCAAAGUGCAUCCGCCAAUGGGUGGAGUUCGGCGCUGGUGGCAGGUACUGGGUCUCGGCCCAAUCGACAAGGAAGUCGGCCAGUGCUUGGGACUUGAUGGCAGUGCGGGGCUGGUAGAAGAUGGUGUAGGGGGCCAACUCGAUGGCCCAUUUUGCCACUCGGCCAGAUGCAUCUCUGUUGCCAAUGAUCUCAGCGAGUGGGGCAGUGCAGACAACCGUGAUCGGGUGCUCUUCAAAGUAUGGCUUCAGCUUCUUGGCGGCAAAAUGCAUGCCGUAGCACAUCUUCUGAUAGUGAGGGUAGUUCUGCUUAGAAGUUAACAGCACCUCGCUCAAAUAGUACACCGGCCUCUGGACCGGCUGUGCCUUGUCGUCCUCCGGGCGCUCCACCAUUAUGACUGUGCUGAUCACCCGGCUGGUGGCAGCGGUGUAGAGGUACAUGAGCUCUUUAGCAGUCGGAGCCGCCAGGACAGGCGGCGUGGUCAACAUCUUUUUCAGCUAGAGAAAAGCUUCGUCCGCCUUGUCGUUCCACUCGAAAUGAGUGGUUUUCUUCAUGAGCUGGUACAGGGGAAGAGCCUUCUCGCCCAGCCGACUGAUGAACCGGCUGAUGGAUGCCAAGCAGCCGAUGAACUUCUGGACGUCUCGCAGUCGGGUAGGCUUCUCCAUCCUCUCGAUGGCUUUGAUCUUCACCGGGUUGCACUCAAUGCCGCGUUCUGAGACCAGGAAGCCAAGGAGCUGGCCGGCUGGUACUCCGAACACACACUUUUCUGGGUUGAGCUUGAUUUGAAAUCGGUGCAGAUUUUCAAAGGUUUCCUUGAGAUCUUCGAGGAGUGUGUUGCGCUUCUCCGUCUUCACCACAAUAUCGUCUAUGUAGACGUGGGCAUUUCCGCCGAGUUGCUUGAGGAGGCAUUUCUGCAUGCAACGCUGAAGCAUGGCACCGGCAUUUCUCAGGCCGGAUGUCAUGGUCAGGUAGCAGAAGGCUCCGAAUGGUGUGAUGAAGGCGGUCUUCAGGCGGUCUGCCGGGUUCAACUUGAUUUGGUGGUAUCAUGAGUAGGCAUCCAAAAAACUCAACAGCUCGCAUCCGGCUGUGGAGUCUAUGACUUGGUCAAUCCUUGGCAAAGCAAAUGGAUCUUUCGGGCAGGCCUUGUUGAGGCUGGUGUAAUCAAUGCACAUGCGCCACUUGUUAUUCUUCUUUAGUACAAGGACUGGGUUGGCAAGCCAUUCCGGGAAGAAAACUUCCAUGAUGAAGCCGGCUGCCAACAGACGAGCGAUCUCUUCUUCGACGAUUCUUCUCUUCUCCUCCGACAGUCGACGGAGGGGUUGCUUGACUGGCUUAGCAUCUUCUCUGACAUGUAGCUUGUGCUCGGCGAAAUCCGUCGGAACAACCGGCAUGUCCUUGGGGGACCAUGCGAAAAUGUCCCGAUUCUCACGGAGGAAAUCGACAAGCUAGCUUUCCUAUUUGCUGUCAAGGUUUGCACCUAUGACAGCGUACCUCUCCAGGUGCUCUAGGUCCAACGGUAUCUUCUUUGUCUCCUUGGUCGGCUUGAAGGAUCCUUCGACUUCCGACUCCUUGGGAUCGGGGGACAUGUCCGGCUGCUUGCCGGCCAUGGCCACAACCCGGUCAAGGAGCCGCUUCUCGGCAGUGAUCACAAGGGACUCGGCCAGCCGGCUGCUAGCGGUUGCACAGUCGAAUGACUUCUUGUAAUCUCCGGAGAUGGUAAUGACUCCCUUGGCGCUUGGCAUCUUCAUCUUGAGGUAGGCAUAGUGUGGCACCGCCAUGAACUUGGCUAAGGCAGGUCGGCCAAGCAGUGCGUGUUACGGGCUUUCCAGGUCAACUACCUCAAACCAUAUGGGCUCUCGGCGGAAAUGAUCUUUGUCUCCGAAGAGGACAUCUAUCUUGAUCUUGCCGAUUGGUGAGUGAGAAAGGCCAGGAACUAUGCCAUGGAAGACAGUCCGACUGGGCAGGAGGUGCUUGGGUUUGAUCUUCAAUUUCUCCAUGGUGUCACGGUAUAGGAUGUUGAUGCUGCUGCCGCCAUCUAUCAGGAUUCGGGAGAAACGAGCAGCUCGCCUCUCCGUAGCAAAGGUUGUGUCCAACACCAAAGCGUAAGAACCCGGAGAAGGCAUUACUUCCGGGUGGUCAGCUCGGCUCCAACUGAUUGGCUUCUCUGACCAGUGCAUGAACUCUGGGGCUUCAAUGGCUACGGCAUUCACCUCUCGGGACUGUUGGCGCCGGCUGCGCCUAUCAUCGGCCAUACUGGUGAAAACAACAUAUGCUCCGUGCUCUUCAAGGAAUUCAUCUUGAAUGGCAGCGACUGCUGGCCAGUAGGCGGUGGAGGUAGCAGUCCUUCGCCCUUGGAGAUUCGCGUGAGCCAGUGACACUUCCGAGUGGUGUGAUUGGACGGCUUCGCGCCGCUAUGGAACUUACAGGGAGCAUCGAGGGUUUGCUCAUAGGAGAAGGCGGGCAGCCAAUUCAGCUUGCCGCCUCUCUGACGCUAGGUCUGGGGCUGCCCUUCUGGCUGCUGAUCUUCAACUGUUGCCAGUUGCCGGCUGGUGGGAGCCGGCAUCGGGGCUUUUCGCUUGUUGUCGUUCUGCUGCUGGCGUCGACUGGAGUCGCCAGCCGGGGUCCGAGGAGCCUGAGGAGCCACUUUGCCGGAUGCAUCAACUUGAAUCUCCACCUUCAUGGAGGAGUCGGCCCUGGCAUACUUGUCCGCUAUGAUCAGCAACUCGUCGAGGGUGGCCGGCUCGUCGCAGAGAAGCUUGUGCUUGAGCAGAGUGCCUUCUCUGUACCAGAAUGUGAAGUACUCAAUAGCCUGCACCUCGUGCACGCCUUCGCAAGAGUUGCGCAGCUCGGCCCAGCGCGUGAGGUAGUCGUGAUUCGACUCGUUGGGGCCUUGGACGCACAAGGAGAGCCGGCGAGGCUUGGGCGGCCGCUUGUACGUGCUGGUGAAGUUGCGGACAAAGGCUUCAGUGAAAUCUACCCAGCUGUUGAUGCUGCAGGGCUUCAGGCUGUUCAGCCAUGUCCGGGCGGUGCCCUGGAGCAUGAGCGGAACAUACUUCACGGCGACAUGCUUGUUGCCGUUUGCUAUGCUGACGGCUGUGGAGUAGUCGACCAGCCAGUCCUCCGGCUUCAUGGAGCCGGUAUACUUGGACGUAUCUCUUGGGAGUGUGAACCCUUUGGGGAAGGGCUCGUCGCGGAUGCGGGGGCCAAAACAAGGCGGGCCCAGCGCAUCUUCUUCUAGCGCCAGGGAUCGGCUGAGGCGAUCGAUCCGGUGGCGGGCAUCACUUUCUCCGAUUCCUUCUCGGGGGCCGAGGCGGUCGCCGAGUGUCGGAUGAUCAACAGGCGGCGGGGAGACGCGUCUUUCUCUGCGCGGGGGAGGCUGGUAGUCGCCUGGUCGUUCCAUCGCUCGUGGGCGGCUGUCUUGGUCGCGCUAGAUGGUGAUGUGCGUCCGGCUGUGGCUCGCAGCCAACUCCUUGUCUCGCCGUCCGCGGGCGCCACCAGUCGGCGCCUGGGACGUCGCGCCAUGCUCCCGGCGGGGAGGCGGGUCGUUGUUCCGCCGGUUGGGCUCCUCGACGCGGCAGCCGGCUUCUUGCUGCUCAGCAGCCGCGUCAAUGAGUCGCUGGACGCGCUCCGUCAUAUGGCGACGCUCAUCGACCUCGAGGUUGUCCAGCUCGUCUGCUGCCACCUGGGCAGCUCAUAUGUUAUCCCUGGGCGUGGCGUAGACGGGGCGAUCUGCCCCGAACGUGCUGGCAAUGGCCGCGCCAUGCUGACGGACCACACCGAUGUGGCUGGGCCCGCCAGGAGCCGGCGUUCCGCCAACGGCGCGGUUCAUCUUGUGCUGGUAAGCCUCCGAAAGGCGUCUCAUGCUGGCUAGCUUCUUGGCGCUUUCGACGAGCUGGACGCUGCGUGCUUCCAGCGUCUCGGCGUCGGCGUCUUCUGCGAUGGGUGCAGACAGGUCUUGCAGCAAUGACUCGAGUGGGUCUCGGGCACCAUCACUGGAAACUCCAUCAUGGCUGAUGACGAGCACCUCCGUGACGGUGCUGCUGCCACUGUCGGCACGGGGGAGGGGAUCAUCAACGACCACCAUGUUGGUGGGGAAUGCGUCGAGCGACGCUGUGUAGGAGUCGACGAGCAUCGGGUCGGUGGAGCCAACCGACUCCAAGUCGACGGCCGACUCGUUGGUGACGUGGAGCUGGUCGAGGAGGCUGAAGAGGCGGCUCUCGGGGCCGUUAGUGCCCGCGUCGGACGCAGGCUCAUCGGAGAGGCAGAUUUAGCCAACAAGGUCGGCGAGGCAGCUUGCCGCGCAGGCGACCUCCGCGCCAAGCAACGCGUUGGCGCAAACACCAUCUGGCGUGCCUGGCUGGCUGCGCUCGCCAGGGAGGAAGAGGGUUCCCGUCCAGAACAGAUCUCCGGACGACGGUGCACCUAGCCGCACGGUGGGCGCCAAAUGUCGGGGGUUUGGUGCGACAUAUGCCAAAGGAUGGCUUAUCAUGAUGGGGACUAGUAAGACGUCGCCGGUGCCAGGAAACGGGAUGAGGCGAAGACAUGCACGCCAGCGAAUCUUACCUAGGUUCGGGGCUCUCCAUGGAGAUAACACCCCUAGUCCUGCUCUACGGGGUCUCCGCAUGAUCACUCAAGCAACAAUGGUGGCUACAAGCUUGCUCCUUGAGCUGUUUCUCUAGAGGGGGAAGGAGAGCAAGUCUAGCCUUAGCUUCCUCUCUCUAUAUAGGUGUGUGGAUGAACAAGAGGCUGAACCCUUUGCAUGGGUGCCCUGGGGGGUUUAUAUAGGCCUACCCCCCAGGGGUACAAUAGUAAUCCGGCCGGGUGUUGGCCCAAACCGUCAGUAUCUCUGGUCGCUGGCUUCUCCGCUGGCCGGUGGGGCCCGCCGCCUGGUGGGUCCCGCCGUCUGUCCAGUACUUGGCCGACAGGCCGUACCCGCCGCUUGCGGGUCCUGCCGGCUGCCCGAUACUGUAGCGAUGCGUCUAAUGAUGCGUGCUUUGUCGGGCGAGGCGUGGCUACAGUGCCGCCGCCUAGCGGGCGUUCACUGUAGCCAUUCCUCGUUUUAUCUGGUUAAUGGUGCACCAGUCCCCAAGAGGGGGAGGGCCGCCUGGUCAUCUGCCAGCUUCUACUGAGCUGACUGGCCAGGGACGGCCGCCUUCCGGUCUUCUCGUUGUCAAGUGGGGCCCGCCGCCUGCGGGCCGUACCGAUAGCCCGUCGUGGGGGCACGGCCCCCUCUGAUAGGGGUGACCGCCGUUUCGACCGUAGGAGGUCCGUUUCCUCCGUUUUGCGGUACGCCACACCCCUCCCCAUGAACACGACGCAUUCCGUUGCCUCCCCAUGAACACGACGACGAUGCUGUUUCUCCGUUCCGACCCAGCCAUGUACGCAAGCCCUCGCCGUACGUAUGCGCGAGUACGCGUUCGAGACCCUGCCCGUAUGUACGUACGUGGCCGUAUUUUCUUGCUUGCGCCCUGGCCGCUGUACGUACGUGUACAUGCUACGUGCGCGCCUCUACUACGACACGUACGCGCCUCUACCACGACACGUGCGCGCCUCUACAUCGACCAGUAUAUAUGUACGUACACGUUCGCGACCAGAAUGACAACGCUACGUACGCUUCGACCAGGUGGGUGCCGACUGUCAGGCACUUCCUUGCCUGCGAAGAUGUAGCUGGUGGGUCCCAGCAGUUAGGGGGCGAAUCGUUUUUUUUUUGCCCGGACGCACUUCCUUGCGUGCGAAGAUGUAGCUGGUGGGUCCCAACAGUCAGGGGGGAAUCGUUUUUUUUGCCCGGACGCACUUCCUUGCGUGCGCAGGUGUAUCUGGUGGGUCCCGGCAGUCAGGGGGGAAACGUUUUUUUCGCGAAAUACGGUGGCCCGUCCGGUGGGUCCCUGCUGUCAGCUGGAGGAAUCAUUAUUUUCCGCGUAAUAAGGAGGCACUUCCUUGCUGCCGCCGUGGACCCAGCUGUCGGCCUCUCCACGUACAGUCCACGUCCGAUGGAAGUCGUUCCUUGACCACAUUGACCAUGCCGCGCCAAGAGCACCAGGGCGGUGGACGACGGCGAGGCCUAGGAAGGGGACGACACGGAGCCAGUGAAGACGCGGCAGUGGAUGCCCACGCGGAAAGGAGUAUGAGGGUUCACUCGUUCGGCUGCGGUGUGAGGCUCCCAUCGCCGCAGGGCCUGGCCAGCGGUGGGUAUAGUAGGGGCGGUGAGGCCUCUGCGGCAGCACAGCCGGCCACGAGAGGCAGGAGCAGGCGGCACGACUGGCGCUGCUUUGGGCAGCUGGAGCAAGAAGACCAGAGGUUGAAGAAGCACUACGGCCGUUGCAUGGACAUCGUACGGUCACUGGAGCUAGAAUCGUUCAUAUUGACUAAGUUGACAAAGCCCUCCGUCCCCGUCAACUUAGUAGGCCCACAAGUCAGCCUCCCACCAAUGUGGGUCCCAGCUAGCAGGGGGAGUAUUCAUUUUUUUGUGCGUAAUAAGGAGGCACUUCCGGUGGGUCCGACUUGACAGUGGGGCGAACGUUUUUUUCGCGAAAUACGGUGGCCCGUCCGGUGGGUCCCAGCAGUCAGGGGGGAAACAUUUUUUCGUGAAAUAAGGUGGCCCGUCCGGUGGGUCCCCGCUGUCAGGUGGAGGAAUAAUUAUUUUGCGCGUAAUAAGGAGGCACUUCCUUGCGGCCGCCGUGGACCCAGCUGUCAGCCUCUCCACGUACAGUACUCUUGCGAUGGAAGUCGGUCGUUGACCACGUUGACCACGCCGCACCGAGAGCACCAGGGCAGUGGACGACGGUGAGGCCUAGGAAGGGGACGACGCGGAGCCAGGGAAGACGCAGCAGUGGAAGUCCGCGCGGAGAGGAGUACGAGGGUUCACUGGUUCGGCUGCGGUGUGAGGCUUCCGUCGCCGCAGAAUAACAGGGGGUGUGGGUGAGUGGAGAGAUGGCCUGGCCAGCGGUGGGUGUAGUAUGGGGGCGGUGAGGCCUCCGCGGCAGCACAGCCGGCCACGGGAGGGAGGAGCAGGCGGCACGACCGGCGCUGCUUUGGGCGGCUGGACCAAGAAGACCAUAGGUUGAAGAAGCACUACGGCCAUUGGAUGGAGAUCGUACGGUCACUGAAGCUAGAGUCGUUUAUAUUGACUAAGUUGACAAAGCCCUUGGUACGCUCCAACUUAGUAGGCCCACAGGUCAGCCUCCGAAACGGUGCGCCCCAGAUGUCAGGGGGAGGAAUCAUUUUUUGGGCGGCCGAAGCUAAGAAUAUCCGAGAUUGUGAAGAAGCACGACAUCCGUUGGAUAGACAUCCAACGACCACUGCUGCUAGAACCGUGUGUUGACUAUAAUAAGUUGACAAAGCCUUGCAUACGCGUCAACUUAUUUUUUAGGGGACGCGUCACUUAGUAGGCCCACAAGUGUGUGGCAGAGAACUUAUAGCCCAUUUGCGUUUUGUAAGAAUGUACAGCCCACUUUUGAAUUCUAAUGGAAUUUACAACAGCCCAUUUACAGUUUGUUAAAAGUACAACCCAUUUUCUAGCUAGGACAACGAUUAAUAAUUUCAACCAACCGUUGAAGACAGAAUCCAAUAAAAUUUCCCACAUUUUGAUGGGAUCCGAAAUAUUUUUAUCCAGAAAUUUCUAGUCAGGUUAAAUAUAAAUUUGUAUUACGUAAAAAUCCAACGAAACAUUGCGCGCGCAACAAUGAAAAUUUAAGAUUUCAAAAUCCAUAAAUAAUAUUUUAUAAACUAAUUUUGUGUUUGGUGCAUUUUUUUAUAGUUACUGCCCAGUUUUUAUAAUUACAUCCCAUUUAUUAUUUUUUAAAGCCCAUUUUCCUCUUAUGCCUAAUGCAUCCCUCCUAGGAAAGAUUUGCAGCCCAGCGGGGCGGAGAAUAACAAGUUGACCUUGCCUGGGUAUUCCUCAAAAAGACGUAUAGCUGGGCUAGCCAUUUUCAUCUUGAAAAAAUUAGUAUCUGGGCUGGAUAUCUGGCUUGGGUGUGGCACCCCGGCUCAGAGAAAACCGGAACGCCCCGUAUUCCAGCCCAGAGAUCGAGGAGAAGUCUUCUGGAAUACGGCACUGCUUAGCAUAGAACAAACCAGCUUUCUAUUAUAUCACGAAUAUGAAUACAAGGUCUCCGAUAUUACAAUGAAUAACAUCGGCACGGCGACACUACGCCAUCCUCAGUUGCUCUAUGCAAGCAGCAGAACAACUCGAAGCAGCGGAAUAACUCUAGCAGCGGAACAACGACGACGGUGGUGAACUCCAAUCCGCAGGGACUCUGGCUGGAACGCUUAUCCUAGCUCACAAACAAAGAAUCCAUGGCAAACAAGCAUGCAAUCCAGGCACGACUUGCAAGCUGGCAUGACACGCCAGGUCAGUACAUUGAAUGUACUUGCAAGCUCACAAUUAACCAGAAGCAUUCAAGACAAACAACAACAUGGCAAUUACAGGUUAAGCAGGAAUUAACAUGAGUUCCUCAUAACAACAUGACCUGAACAACAUGACACCCAAAGUAAUACUCCCAGAAUAAUACCAGGUACCAUCAUGAAAAUAAUCAUAAUAGCCACUAAUAAUCCAAAGGCAACAUGAACACGAUACAGCUAGAACAACAUGAGCAUAGCAUGAGCAUAUGAGUCUGACGAUACUAGCAUGCAACAUGAAUGACACUAUAUGCAUUAUUUAUUUUGCUCGGGUUACUACGUAACCAUCACAUGCCUCACUUACCAACCUCGGACAUCACACGAUUAUCUCAGGAUCAAAUCAAGCUUGGUAUAAACAAUACCGUAGUAAUCAUUAACUGACCACAAGGAGCUUGAUCUUUACCCAUGAUUCUCGCACAACAUCGCGAAUAUACAAUAACUCGGUAUCCUCGAUACCACCGUGAUCCUUCCGGCGAUCACAACCACGACCAACACUUGGUCUCAAACCGUCAUCCUUACGGCGAUCACAACCGCGGCCAAUAUUUGGUCCGUGAUCCUUACGGCGAUCACAACCAACUUAUCUCAUCAUCAAACCGGGGUUGUUAUUAAUCAAGUUAUUAUUAAUACUAUUGACUCACGGUGGGACCGACACGAACUGGGCCCUUAUCCGCGGGCGCGGCUAUCGAUAGAUUUAAUAUACACUCUGCAGAGGUUAGCACACUGUACCCACACUACGGAACCCAUGGCCUCGCACUCCCAUUCGGGUGGACCAACGGCGUUCCGACAAAACCGAUCUACUGCCGUGACAUUCUCCCGGCCACUCCGACCAAAUCCCCAACGGGCUAGUCCUGGGUGGCCCCGUGUCUACCAAAGAUACCCCGACCACCGUCGUGGUCAAAACACUCCCACUCGGGGACCGGAUCCACAAAACUAAAAACAACGAGCACACAAGGUUAUGUCUACCUACCUGAUCAGGGUAAGCACGCCCAUAACCUUCCCUCGUGGGAGGCACUGGCGAGAUGCACGACAAUAGACCCAGUUAGGACCUCCCCAUAAGGUAAGCGUGGUUGCACUAGUCAGUUUCGAUAUGGUGGCACCAUGACUCAGCCAACAGUUGUUCAAGUUCAAUUUAAUCCGGUUAAACUUGAAUGCAAUAUGCUGAGCCAUGAUAAAAUAACAUGAUGCAUAUACAAAGCAUGAGAAUGAUAUCAACAUAAGCACGGGAUGCAGCAUAACUAUCCACCAUAUCAACUAUGAAUAAUUUCCAACUGAACAUGGCAUAAUGACGAGCAUAAAUAUUACAAGUGCAACACUACUCAUAGCAUAACAUGACCACUAGCAUCAACCAUAAACAUCAUGCAUGAACAUAACAACAAUGCAAGCAUGCAAGCAUUUAACCAACUGGAUGCAAUGGAACAUGUAUAACAACGGUACUCGGGACGGAUGGUCGUCAUGCACCGAAGACCAUUACCAACAUCAACAUGUACUACUAGCAAGCAUAAGCAUAUGAAAGGAAUACUGGCAACUAGCAGGGCAUGAUAACCAGGUGCAUAACAACAUAGCAAACAUGGAAAUACUAACCCAGAAGCAUUACCGAAACAACGAUAACCAUAUUUUAAACAAGCAAACAUUUAAUAAAUAUUCAAGUUGAAAACCAUGGCUACUGCAUGACUAUCAUGCAAGUGGGUAUUGUGGCUUGCCUGGGGGUGAAGAAGGCACCGGGGAGAAGUGCGGUGAAGCCGCGGAAAGAUUUGCCAGAAACAGUUCUCUCUCGGAGGGGCUGUUUACGUGCAAGGGCAAAAAGGUCAUUUUCACAGUGUCAAACCAUAGUGGAAAUGAGACCAACAGAACAGGCUCGACGAAACGAAGAAGUAGGCUUUGGAUUCACCUCAUUUGGAGUUAUGGAUAAAAAGUUAUGAGGUGUUUUCUGCCAGGGACCCAUCUGUAAUGAAAAGAUUUUCAGACUGGACUUAGGAAGAAAAACAGAAAGCAUACUUCAGCAAAUACGCUUUCCUAACGCGUAAGCGUACUUUCAGCCGAAGCACCCGGAGAAUUCGCUUUCAACACAUGAAGACGUACUCACCAGAACUGCGUGUCCACUUAUCCACGUCAGCAAGCGCCUCGUGCGGCUGACGGGUGGGACCCGCGUUGACCUUCUCUCUCCUCCCUCUCCUCCUCUUCUUCCCCCGACGCGCGCUGAGGCAGAGGCGAGACCGACCGCCCCCACGACGAUCGCCGGCGACUCCGUCCACCGUAGGUGGCGCUCGACCUACCCACAUGCUCAGGGCGACGGGGCCGACCCGUUCCAGGACAGAACAUACCUCGAGGAGGGCGGGGUUGAGAGCCGCAAGCACUCCAGCGGAGGGGGCUUUGGGUGGGAUUUGGCUAUGGGGCUGCGGGGCACUCCGGCGAGGGGAAAGGAGUUGGGGUGAGUUGCUGGACUCCGGGGAGGCUAUUGGUGGGGACAGAACGGAGGGGAAGGGCUCGGCUUGCCCGAAUCGAAGAGGGGCAUAGGCGGCGGCCAUGGCGGCAAGGGCGGGCUCAGGAGCUCUUAGAGCUCGAAUGAGAGGUCGGGGAGGGGUAGAGGAAUGUGGGAAGGGUGCUGGUGAGCUCGAAACGCUCAGGGGAGGGCCAUUUAUAGGCAGGGCGAGGGAGGCCGAGCUGGCACCGCCGCGGAUGCGUGUCCGGUGCCGCGGACGCGUGCCCGCGCGCUCGAGCUCGGGGGCAGGCGACGAGGGAGGCACAAUAGAGGUUCUCACGGGGCAAAGGAGGCCAAGGGGCGCAGGGACGAAGACGACGGCAACGGGAAGAUCCAAAGCUCCACUGCGCUCUCGUGGGCGCGCGGCGGCUUGCGUCGGUGGGGAAGCAGACGGAGGGGGAGAGGGGUCCAGGGGAACGGCGACGACGAGAGGAAGACAGUGGACAUGCCCGUGCUCGCUGAGACACCGAGCAGAGGAGGGGCCCGAGCAAGAAGCCAUUCUGGACGCGGCCAUUGCACGCCAGAGAGGUGGUCACCGCGCGCGCUGGUGCACACAGCGCGUUCUGGCCGGGCCGACCAUGUCCCGUGGAAUGACCCUAGUGACCUUAGUCUAAAUGAAGAAAUAAAUCAAUCUAGGGGCAAAGAAGAGAUUUGCAGAUGGCCCCAAAGCAAACCAGCACCCAAGUGUUUGUGCUGUGCUGUGGGGACACCAGCUAGGUAACUCAGUAAAAUCUUGUCUGGUAAUGAUCAUACACUAAGGUGACUACGAUCACAGGAAAUCAGCUUAAGAGGAGGAGUUUAAAGGGUGGUUGCUGUAGAAAGUGCCAUAAUGGCCAGAAAUGGGAAUUUGGAUGAUGCACUCACAUAGUUGCAUCAAUUGAGCUGCAAAUGGUUAUGGCCCAAUGAUUUGAAGAUGUACAGAUGCCCAAGGAGUUUCAUGCCAUUUGGAUGAACCAAAAUAGCACUUGCUUUAGAAAGAUUUAUUCUGACCAGAAACUUGGAAAAAUUUCACAGGGCAAAUGGUCAAAGGGAUUGAGCCACAACUUGGUGGUGGGAAGUUAUAUGGAUACUAGAAGGCUUUGAAAAAUUGGCAGCCAUAAUGGAGCAAGAUAAAAUAUACUUGCUUCACAAACUAAAAUUUUGACCAGAAACUAAGAAUUGAAGUUGAGCUCACAUGGAGGCAUGACAUGAGCUAUACUUUGGUGGAGAGCUAUGACAUGAUGAUAUGAGGGAUCAUGAAAAAUGGAAACUCAUUUGGAUAUGCCUAGCUUGUACUUCCUUCACAACCAGUUCCCUCAGACAGGAACUUUGAAUAAGUGCUCAGGAAUAUUUACUAGGCAAAUGAGGUUGCACUUUGGCAUGUGGCAAUGAUAUGGACUGGAAAAGGUGGUCAAGGAGUUUGAGGUUAAUUGGAAAAAGUAAAAUAGCACUUGCUUCACAAUGUGCCAUUUAGGGUAGAAUAGGAAAUGAAUUAUUUGAGCAUGAUGAUAAACAUGACAAAUGAAAUAUUUUUCUAUAUUUGAGAAAGAUAUGACCCAAACAAUUUAUGAGAAUUAUUUGGGAAUUUUAGGAGUGAUGGAAAUAAAGGUUGCUUCACAACCUAGGGCAAUUUGAGUUAUUCCUUUAAUAGAAAAGGAAUAUCCCCAAUAAAAAGAAUAUUGGGAUUUGGGCUAGGAUGAAAAUGAUAGGGUCUAGGGAAGGAUUUGGGAAUGACAAGCCACUUUGGAAGCAAAGAAGAGUUCAUCUUCUUCAGUUUCCAGACCACAAGGCCACGGAAAAAGAAAACUCAAGCAAAAACCUCAGAAAAACAAAAGAAAAAGAAAGGGCCAAAAAUCAGGCUGUCACAAACCUUACCCCCUUAAAGAAAUCUCCUCUUAGAGAUUUGGUUGCUCACGGAACAAGUAUGAAGAUACUGACUUAAGGAAACCGUUUCCAACUCGGGUAUCCUUUUUCUUAUUUUUGUUCCCACUAAAUUUUUAUCUGACUGGCCCUGCGGUGGUUUGCUUUAAUAUAUCCAUAUUCUGACAGAUCUCACCUUGCUUGUUCAUGCUUAUACAGGCUCCAAUUUCUUUUUAGAUCUGCUGACUUAACUGACUGUGAUUGAUCCUCACGACUGAAAUAUAUGUCGGCCUCACAAAUCCAAGAGUGAUUUCCGCUGGGUGUGUCAUCCCGCACUGACAAUCUUUCAUGAAGUGGUGAUCAGAUUUUUCUUGUGGACCCCCAAGCUCUAACUCCUUGCAUUGGGUUUCUCCACUAAAUGCAGGUCCUUCAGGUUCCAAACAGUGAGUUGGGUCAUAACCGCUUUCCCGACAGCUUCUAGCUUAUCGCGGAAGUUUCUGAAUCAUCUUAACUGGUUCCACUUUCUUGAGUAUCGGAUCCGCACCAAAUAUUUGAUUGUCGCCUAUCGUGGCUAGCAUAAGGGUUUGACCUGUAGGAUAAUAUCUGCAGACUUGACUGACGGUGGUUCUGCACCACGCGGGUCUUGCAACAAUUUUCAUACCCACAUCACUGGUCUUGCUCCUUCAUUAUCGUUUUCUUGGUCUGGAUCCUUGACUGAAAGAGCUGGGUCAUAUUGCCUUUUUUUCGUAUCACCAUAGGUACUGUCGGUGCAAUUUUAUUUUUUUGGCAAUCGCAGCUUAUCCUCAUUUUUCUGACAGGGUACCCCAUUAAAUGGCAGUUUCAACUUCCCUCAAGUUCUGACUGAUUCUUGCUUCUGACCAAAAUGUUGCGGAUCUGAUUCUUGGGAUUCGCUACCAUAUGCUGUCAAUUCACAGCGUACUACCUUGUACCAAUGUCUUACUAAGGAAGAUUGGCUGGCUUGUGCUUGAAACUUUCAUCGGACAGCUUGCUAAAGAAGACUGGGUAUCGUGCUUCAGAAGCUUACCCCCUUAAAGACGUUGCUGGGGAAAAACUCAGUACCUUAUGCUGGAAUCUUUUGCAGUUGCUUACUGAAGAAGGCAGAGUACCUUGUACGGGAAAUCAUCCAUGUAUCAUACUGAAGAAGAUAGAUGAAUCUUGCCUUGGAAGCUUUUCGGGUAUCUUGCGAGGGAAGAUUGGGUUGUUUACACCAGAAGCUUCUUAUUGUGAUAUGCGGACCGAUUUCCACAUAUAUAACUAUCUUAAUAUUUUUGUUAUUGAUUUCUUGUAUGAAACGGGGUUUUGCAGGACUAUCCUCCUUUCUGAGUACAUGCCAUAUUUUUGCCUGCUUCCAGGUACAUCGGGUUCCAAAAUCAUCCUCAACAAAAAAUUACACUUGUAUCUGAGCCAUACCUUUGAUAAUAUUUUGUCAACCUUGCACACAAUUUAUCUUCUUGCUGAUUUGAUCAUUUCUGCUAUGAGGAGUGCACGCUGAGAGAGACUUGACUUUCAGUAACAUGGUCAGAUAUCCUCUAAUCUGAAUGCAGUCGGCUGAGAAUUCCAUGCUGUUGUGAGGAGUGCACAUUAAUGCAAACAUUAUACUGACAUUUCACCCAGGAUUUUCUUUUGUAUUCAGACGAGCUAUUUCCAAUUUCACUGCAGUCUGCUGACAAUUCCAUUCUGUUUAGCUGAGUUUCCAAAUAUGUGCAUUUCUUGCUGACUCUUCAGGUCCGUUGUCGGCUGACAAGCAACUUUAAUAGGGGAAAAAUUAGUAACACCGAAGGCCCAAAGAAAGAAACAAAAGAAACUACUAAAACAAAAGCACACAAACAUACUACUAAUAUAAUUAAUCAAGCAAUCAUCACAUAUUACUGCUACUCACACCAUAAUAUGCAUGCACACCUAGGCACACAAAUCGCACGGAAACUCCGGUAUUACGGUCUAAUAUGCUGUGGCGGUGUGCACGAAAAUUAUAUCCAUGUGUGGAAGGAGUUGGCAUAACCGAAGCUACACCAAGCACUAGCUGAACAGUGGCUGGAUCUGGAUGGAUACAGAGGUGAGAACGGACUUGACGAUCAAGUAGCGAGACACAAAAGUCACGACCACCGCAUCAUCAAGCGUAAGAAGGGAAUCAUACCCGUCCAAAGAAUGAAAUGACAUGGCAAGAUAACAGUGGAAGACUGGGUUUAUUGGCAUUGCCCUUUUUCUGAUAACAAAGAUCAGCAAGGGUUGCCAAGGGGACGAGAAGGAGGGCAUGGAUGAUGAUGUGGUUGCAUCACACCGAAGAGCAGGCAUGCUAUGAAAGAGGGUGCAGGUAGUGGAUCGAAAUCGAUGCCACCUACACUCACAAGAUUAACCGUUAGUGACAAAAUAAUAAUCUAUAUGCAUGUUGUGCGACAAACAAAUGCAACAAUCAAGUGCAACAAACCAACUGGAGUCUAUACUACCGUUUUCUAACGUUCGCACAGGCUAAGGCAUCCUAUAGCCAGACCUGCUCUGAUCCAAGCGCUGUGGCACCUGGCUCAGAGAAAACUGGAAUGCCCCGUAUUCCAGCCCAGAGAUCGAGGAGAAGUCUUCUGGAAUACGGCACUGCUUAGCAUAGAACAAACCAGCUUUCUAUUAUAUCACGAAUAUGAAUACAAGGUCUCCGAUAUUACAAUGAAUAACAUCGGCACGGCGACACUACGCCAUCCUCAGUUGCUCUAUGCAAGCAGCAGAACAACUCGAAGCAGUGGAAUAACUCUAGCAGCAGAACAACGACGACGGUGGUGAACUCCAAUCCGUAGGGACUCUGGCUGGAACGCUUAUCCUAGCUCGCAAACAAAGAAUCCAUGGCAAACAAGCAUGCAAUCCAGGCACGACCUGCAAGCUGGCAUGACAUGCCAGGUCAGUACAUUGAAUGUACUUGCAAGCUCACAAUUAACCAGAAGCAUUCAAGACAAACAACAGCAUGGCAAUUACAGGUUAAGCAGGAAUUAACAUGAGAUCCUCAUAACAACAUGACCUGAACAACAUGACACCCAAAGUAAUACUCCCAGAAUAAUACCAGGUACCAUCAUGAAAAUAAUCAUAAUAGCCACUAAUAAUCCAAAGGCAACAUGAACACGAUACAGCUAGAACAACAUGAGCAUAGCAUGAGCAUAUGAGUCUGACGAUACUAGCAUGCAACAUGAAUGACACUAUAUGCAUUAUUUAUUUUGCUCGGGUUACUACGUAACCAUCACAUGCCUCACUUACCAACCUCGGACAUCACACGAUUAUCUCAGGAUCAAAUCAAGCUUGGUAUAAACAAUACCGUAGUAAUCAUUAACUGACCACAAGGAGCUUGAUCUUUACCCAUGAUUCUUGCACAACAUCGCGAAUAUACAAUAACUCGGUAUCCUCGAUACCACCGUGAUCCUUCCGGCGAUCACAACCACGACCAACACUUGGUCUCAAACCGUCAUCCUUACGGCGAUCACAACCACGGCCAAUAUUUGGCCCGUGAUCCUUACGGCGAUCACAACCAACUUAUCUCAUCAUCAAACCGGGGUUGUUAUUAAUCAAGUUAUUAUUAAUACUAUUGACUCACGGUGGGACCGACACGAACUGGGCCCUUAUCCGCGGGCGCGGCUAUCGAUAGAUUUAAUAUACACUCUGCAGAGGUUAGCACACUGUACCCACACUACGGAACCCAUGGCCUCGCACUCCCAUUCGGGUGGACCAACGGCGUUCCGACAAAACCGAUCUACUGCCGUGACAUUCUCCCGGCCACUCCGACCAAAUCCCCAACGGGCUAGUCCUGGGUGGCCCCGUGUCUACCAAAGACACCCCGACCACCGUCGUGGUCAAAACACUCCCACUCGGGGACCGGAUCCACAAAACUAAAAACAACGAGCACACAAGGUUAUGUCUGCCUACCUGAUCAGGGUAAGCACGCCCAUAACCUUCCCUCGUGGGAGGCACUGGCGAGAUGCACGACAAUAGACCCAGUUAGGACCUCCCCAUAAGGUAAGCGUGGUUGCACUGGUCAGUUUCGAUAUGGUGGCACCAUGACUCAGCCAACAGUUGUUCAAGUUCAAUUUAAUCCGGUUAAACUUGAAUGCAAUAUGCUGAGCCAUGAUAAAAUAACAUGAUGCAUAUACAAAGCAUGAGAAUGAUAUCAACAUAAGCACGGGAUGCAGCAUAACUAUCCACCAUAUCAACUAUGAAUAAUUUCCAACUGAACAUGGCAUAAUGACGAGCAUAAAUAUUACAAGUGCAACACUACUCAUAGCAUAACAUGACCACUAGCAUCAACCAUAAACAUCAUGCAUGAACAUAACAACAAUGCAAGCAUGCAAGCAUUUAACCAACUGGAUGCAAUGGAACAUGUAUAACAACGGUACUCGGGACGGAUGGUCGUCAUGCACCGAAGACCAUUACCAACAUCAACAUGUACUACUAGCAAGCAUAAGCAUAUGAAAGGAAUACUGGCAACUAGCAGGGCAUGAUAACCAGGUGCAUAACAACAUAGCAAACAUGGAAAUACUAACCCAGAAGCAUUACCGAAACAACGAUAACCAUAUUUUAAACAAGCAAACAUUUAAUAAAUAUUCAAGUUGAAAACCAUGGCUACUGCAUGACUAUCAUGCAAGUGGGUAUUGUGGCUUGCCUGGGGGUGAAGAAGGCACCGGGGAGAAGUGCGGUGAAGCCGCGGAAAGAUUUGCCGGAAACAGUUCUCUCUCGGAGGGGCUGUUUACGUGCAAGGGCAAAAAGGUCAUUUUCACAAUGUCAAACCAUAAGUAAAAUGGAACCAAUAGAAUGGGCUCGACGAAAUGAAGAAGUAGGCUUUGGAUUCACCUCAUUUGGAGUUAUGGAUAAAAAGUUAUGAGGUGUUUUCUGCCAGGGACCCAUCUGUAAUGAAAAGAUUUUCAGACUGGACUUAGGCAAAAAACAGAAGGCGUACUUCAGCAAAUACGCUUUCCUAACGCGAAAGCGUACUUUCAGCCGAAGCACCCGUAGAAUACGCUUUCAACGCAUGAAGACGUACUCACCAGAACUGCGUGUCCACUUAUCCACGUCAGCAGGCGCCUCGUGCGGCUGACGGGUGGGACCCGCGUUGACCUUAUCUCUCCUCCCUCUCCUCCUCUUCUUCCCCCGACGCGCGCUGAGGCAGAGGCGAGACCGGCCGCCCCGACGACGAUCGCCGGCGACUCCGGCCACCGUAGGCGGCGCUCGACCGACCCACGUGCUCAGGGCGACGAAGCCGACCCGCUCCAGGACAGAACGGACCUCGAGGAGGGCGGGGUUGAGAGCCGCAAGCACUCCAGUAGAGGGGCUUCGGGUGGGAUUUGGCUACGGGGCUAUGGGGCACUCCGGCGAGGGGAAAGGAGUUGGGGUGAGUUGCUGGACUCCGGGGAGGCUAUUGGUGGGGACAGAACGGAGGGGAAGGGCUCGGCUUGCCCGAAUCGAAGAGGGGCAGAGGCGGCGGCCAUGGCGGCAAGGGCGGGCUCAGGAGCUCUUGGAGUUCGAAUGAGAGGUCGGGGAGGGGUAGAGGAAUGUGGGAAGGCUGCUGGUGAGCUCGAAACGCUUGGGGGAGGGCCAUUUAUAGGCAGGGCGAGGGAGGCCGAGCUGACACCGCCGCAGACGCGUGUUCGGUGCUGCGGACGCGUGCCCGCGCGCUCGAGCUCGGGGGCAGGCGACGAGGGAGGCACAGUAGAGGUUCUCACGGGGCAGAGGAGGCCAAGGGGCGCAGGGAGGAAGACGACAGCGACGGGAAGAUCCAAAGCUCCACUGUGCUCUCGUGGGCGUGCGGCGGCUUGCGUCGGUGGGGAAGUGGACGGAGGGGGAGAGGGGUCCAGGGGAACGGCGACGACGAGAGGAAGACAGUGGACAUGCCCGUGCUCGCUGAGACACCGAGCAGAGGAGGGGCCCGAGCAAGAAGCCAUUCUGGACGCGGCCAUUGCACGCCAGAGAGGUGGUCACCCCGCGCACUGGUGCACACAACGCGUUCUGGCCGGGCCGACCAUGUCCUGUGGAAUGACCCUAGUGACCUUAGUCUAAAUGAAGAAAUAAAUCAAUCUAGGGGCAAAGAAGAGAUUUGCAGAUGGCCCCAAAGCAAACCAGCAACCAAGUGUUUGUGCUGUGCAGUGGGGACACCAGCUAGGUAACUCAGUAAAAUCUUUUUCUGGUAAUGAUCAUACACUAAGGUGACUACGAUCACAGGAAAUCAGCUUAAGAGGAGGAGUUUAAAGGGUGGUUGCUGUAGAAAGUGCCAUAAUGGCCAAAAAUGGGAAUUUGGAUGAUGCACUCACAUAGUUGCAUCAAUUGAGCUGCAAAUGGUUAUGGCCCAAUGAUUUGAAGAUAUACAGAUGCCCAAGGAGUUUCAUGCCAUUUGGAUGAACCAAUAUAGCACUUGCUUUAGAAAGAUUUAUUCUGACCAGAAACUUGUAAAAAUUCCACAGGGAAAAUGGUCAAAGGGAUUGAGCCACAACUUGGUGGUGGGAAGUUAUAUGGAUACUAGAAGGCUUUGAAAAAUUGGCAGCCAUAAUGGAGCAAGAUAAAAUAUACUUGCUUCACAAACUGAAAUUUUGACCAGAAACUAAGAAUUGAAGCUGAGCUCACAUGGAGGCAUGACAUGAGCUCUACUUUGGUGGAGAGCUAUGAUAUGAUGAUAUGAGGGAUCAUGAAAAAUGGAAACUCAUUUGGAUAUGCCUAGCUUGUACUUCCUUCACAACCAGCUCCCUCAGACAGGAACUCUGAAUAAGUUCUCAGGAAUAUUUACUAGGAAAAUGAGGUUGCACUUUGGCAUGUGGCAAUGAUAUGGACAGGAAAAGGUGUCCAAGGAUUUUGAGGUUAAUUGGGAAAAUUAAAAUAGCACUUGCUUCACAAUGUGCCAUUUAGGGCAGAAUAGGAAAUGAAUUAUUUGAGCAGGAUGAUAAACAUGACAAAUGAAAUAUUUUGCUAUAUUUGAGAAAGAUAUGACCCAAACAAUUUAUGAGAAUUAUUUGGGAAUUUUAGGAGUGAUGGAAAUAAAGGUUGCUUCACAACCUAGGGCAAUUUGAGUUAUUCCUUUAAUAGAAAAGGAAUAUCCCCAAUAAAAAGAAUAUUGGGAUUUGGGCUAGGAUGAAAAUGACAGGGUCUAGGGAAGGAUUUGAGAAUGACAAGCCACUUUGGAAGCAAAGAAGAGUUCAUCUUCUUCAGUUUCCAGACCACAAGGCCACGGAAAAAGAAAACUCAAGCAAAAACCUCAGAAAAACAAAAGAAAAAGAAAGGGCCAAAAAUCAGGCUGUCACACUAGGCUAGACGGGCCAUAGCCCGCCCAGUUAAUACCCUGCUCUCCUCUGAACAACAACGAAAUCAUCGCCAAGAAAAACUCUGCAGUGCUCACGCCUCAAAAACACAAAUACUGCUCGAGCUGCUUGGUCCCAGCUGUCGGCCGCACCUUGUGCAAUUCUCUCGUUUAUAUUGACUACAUAGGUUGACAAUGGUGUGGGACCGUGAUGUCAGGAAACCAGGAGAAAGCAAAAAAAUUAUAGUUGUACAUAAUAAGGAGGCACUUGCGUACGUACGGCUAUGGCCCUAGUGGGUCCCUAGUGUCAUCCAGUCAAAAUAAAGUCAUCUCCUGAAUCCUCAUGUUCGUUGAAGAUGUUAACAAUGCUCGGCGCCACGGCGAGCGCAACAACUCGAAGGACAACGGAGAGGGCCUCACGGGCCCUACGGAUGGUCUGAUACAGCGCCCGCUGCUCAUUCAGGAAGCCAAGAUCAUCGGACACCUAUGAGCACCUUCGAGAAACUGAGACGGCAUGAAACGGUAAGGCCGCGCUUGGGAGCUCUGGUUUAUUUCAAACCUGUAUUAACAUACAAGUGUAAUUUACUCGUCAUCGGAAACAACGCAUAAAAUAUAGGCGUAAUGAAACCGAGGGCCCGAGGUCUGUAAGUAAAACCGGCGGGUUACGCGUGUAAUUUGAGAUACCAGUGUAUAUUUUACGAGCACUGCUAUAUGGACGACAUUACCAGACGAUACAUGCACGACGUGCGUAUCAUGUCAUCCAUGGGCAAGGCCGAAACAGCAGCUAACGGCUGGAUUAGCAAUCGUGUGUGAAGUACUUCCGAUAUUUUACUAGUCGAAAUCGACCAACCAAGCGCCUUCGCCCGAGACCAUCUGCUUUAAUUUACAAGCGUCAGUUUUGCAAGCGGUUUUGGUUGGAAAACGACGAUCCAAUCACGGCCUAAUAUCAUGAGUUGGUCGGAAGAUCAUAUGGUUUCACGUCUAACCUACCUGACUUGUCGUAUAGGCUAUGAAUGAAACAUCAGACGAUGAACUUCUUAAGCACGGAAACAACAGAAGAGGAUGAUCUUCUUAACAAGCAAAUCACUGGCAUUAGAUCGACAUGCAAAACAAUGCGAAGCAUUAUUCUCAGGAGGCACGGUGAACAGCUCGUGAUGCCGCAUGCCACAACAUUCCAAGCUCAACUUUGCAAUCAAACACAAGGCCUGGCAUUACAUAGACAAUAUUCAGAACAAACUCUUAACACAGGAGUAUCUCAUCAGAGUAACUAUUUACUUCUAAACUGAACACAGGAAUAGGAAAAAACACUCGACGCUGCUCACAGCAAGGGCGUCCCACUCAAAAAUAUCAAAUGCAUGUCUUCUGGCUAACAUCAAUGAGCAAAUUUUAACAAGGUUUUCCAAUUCCAAUAUAUUAAACUAACGUCUUCUUGCUAACAUCAAUGAUUAAACUUUGACAAGCUUUUCCCAUUCAAAAUAUGUAAUGCCUAUGAUCGUGGAGUCCUGUCGUAGCUUCUUGUACUUGUUUGGGCACUUUUUGCCCAGGGCACUCCACGUGUUGUUAAAUUGCCAAUGGUCUCUGCAGACUAGUCAUGUCACCGGUGGCUAAUAAUACUCUGUAAAGCUUCUCGGUCAUUCCUUCUAUAAUGUAGCGCAAACAGUGACUGCUUCUUUCUGCAAAGUGGAAUGACCAACUGGACCCAGUAAUGCAGCAGUUUGCCUUGGACACAUUGGCUCCUUUUGUGAAGUUCAACUAAAAUCGAAGUCGGAAUAAAACCGAGCUUUAAUUUUGCUAUCCCUGUAAGCAACAAUAGGUAUAAGGGAAACAAUUACUGCGAAAUAACGGUUGAUGACUUGUACUCCCAGAAGAAAAGCAUCUACUGAUCUACUUUAUCUUAAUGGGAAACAAAGCAGGAGAGUAGCAAUUCUCCAUCAGUGUGAUUCAUUCAUAUUGACUGAGACAUUAUCUUAACAAUGCCUUGUUUCAACAUGUAUAAAGAACGACAAAGCAGAAAAGUACCAUUCCUAAAACAAUGCAACUGAUUCAUUUUAACAAAGACUUUAUCUUAAAAAUACCUUGGUUAAACAUGUAGAAAGAACUACAAAGCAGGAUAGUACCAUUCCUAACAAGUGUUGCAGUUUUGAACUAAGAUUCAGUAGUUAAUUAAUUCUGAGAGUGGCAUUGCUUAAUUUUACCAGCAACAUUAGAUUAACGAAAAGCAUAAACAGUUCCAGGGGAGAGUGGGUGCAACAACAGUAUGUGCUUCCAUCUACUUAUACAGGGGGUGAUGCAGAGUUUGUUGUAACAAAGCAACAAGCAUCAUGUCUGGGUUGGUCCCAUUUUUGUUCACUACUUAAUGGGAAAAGACAGCAAUACAAUAGCUUCAAUUCAACAUUUAUUUAAAAUAGUACCAAUACAAGUAGCACAACAUCUCAAAGCACACUGCACAAUCAUGUGGAUGAAGGCCUGUACUGACCUUUCAUGAGACGGACAAGAUAAAAUACGAAUCUGCCAACACGAAUAGGAAAUCCAAUCUCGUUUUGUGCAGUUGCACUGAAAUCAAGCAAAGUGUUUCGCGUAGCGAAGCAAAAUGUCGCAAUAGCAACAAGUUGAAUAGAUAUCCCUAUUUAAACAGAGGCAAAAAAGGAAUCAAUUACUGGCUAAUAAAGGAGGAUGAAACAUGCGGCCACAAAAAUGGUAAUCCCGCCAAUCCCUAACAAGUGUUGCAGUUUUGAAAUAAGAUUCAGUAGUUAAUUCUGAGAGUGGCAUCAAUUAUUGGCUUAUAAAGGGGGUGAUGCUGAAUUUGUUGUAACAAAGCUACAAGCAUCAUGUCUGGGUUGGUCCCAUUUUUGUUCACUACUUAAUGGGAAAAGACACCAAUACAAUAGCUUCAAUUCAACAUUUAUUUAAAACAGUACCAAAACAAGUAGCAUAACAUCUCAAAGCACACUGCACAUCAUGUGGUUGAGACAAAGAUUUGAAACAACUCGCCACGAAGACUGGAAACAAAUCUCGAUCUUCUUUUGUGCAGUUCCACCAUAAUUAAGCAAAGUCACCGGUGUGACAUUCAAGUUGAACUGCACAAAACAAUCUUAAAACAUAAGUGUUUCGAGUAGCGAAGCAAAAUGUCGCAAUAGCAACAAGUUGAAUCGAUAGCCCUGUUUUAACAGAGGCAAAAAAGGAAACAAUUACUUGCCAAUAAAGGAGGAUGAAACAAAUGGUGACAAAAAGAAGCAUCUAACUUAUCUUGGAUGGAAAACAAAGUAGGACAGUAGCAUUUCUAAAACGGUUGCAUUGAUUCAUAUUAACAGAGACAUUCUCUUGAAACAACAUUCGUUAAAAAAUGUAAUUUACUUUUAACAGUGGCAUUGCUUCAAUUUUCUGGUGGCAUUCUUAGAUUAACAACAGCAAAAUAGUUGUAUGGGACAUGCAGCACCAUGUGCGUCCACACGUAUAAAUGGGUGAUGCAGAGUAUGUAGCCAAGCAGCAUAUAUGCGCUGGUCCCAUAUUUGUUCUCUUUGAACCUUCUUCCUAUGUGAGGGCAGCAAAUCUAGUCCUGCACAAACUACCCGACCCCCCAGUUUCUUUCCCUUUUCAACAAAGAGAUCGGUUCCUUACAGAUGUGUGUACUGGGUUACCCCCCUUUUUCCCUUUUCGACCUACAAAGCGGCUGGAUAGCCAGUCUAUACUACUUUCCGCCCCUCCUUUCCUCAUUGGACCACGUCCUAGAUUCUUGCUCCAGCCCACCGCACCCUUCUUUCCUCUUUGAACCAAGACCUAGAUUCGACUACAGAUCGAAAAAGAUCCACAUGCAGCUAGAGCAACGACGGUUUCAAAGAAACUUAUACCUUAGGGUCGUCAGGAUGUGGCAAGGCAUGCGGCGGGAGGCUGGAUCUGCCCACACUACGUACGGCAGCGAGGAAGAAGGGGUCGGUGGCCCUCCCGCAUAGGCGCUGGGUGAAAGAGAACAGCGCAGCCGGCAGUGGAUUGCCUCCCUCGCCGAAGGCGAUAGAGUGAAUGCUGCACCUCCUCCCCUUCCCGGUGCGACGGGAUACGGACGCCUCCUUCACCAGCUGUGAGGGGGGAGAGAGAGAUAAGAGGCCAACACAGUCUUGUUUAGAUCUGGUGAAGAGAGGGUGAGAAACUGUGAAUAUAGCAAACCCUAGCAAAUGAACGCUGAGCCUCCAGCGUGUAACAUAUAUGGAGAGGGUGAGAGAGCGAGACGCGAGAAACUCUCUCAAACAAGAGGCUAUAAUGGAGUAAAAAAAAUCUCUCCAUAGUAGUGGUUUUAAAUAGAAUACGCGCGUUCCCGGAAAAAAGAAACGAAAACCGGCGGACAAUUUUUUAAGGGUCUGUCUAGGACACAUCAAGAUGUGACAUAGUUAUGUCACAUCUAAGUUGAUGUCCACUCUGUUUGUGGUCUAUUUUUUUCCUAUUUUUUUUUCUUGUUGCUACAUUAUAUACUUGUGGGAGCUUAGAUGUGAUAUCCUUAAAUAACAUCUAGAUGUGAAUUAGACAAACUGAUUUUCUAACGUACCAAGAAAGAAAACUCGAUCAAAAACACGCCCCCGCUUCCAGGUCGCGAGAGUCGUCGCGCACACACACAUAGACAUAGACAUGCAUAUCCGUGUUUACGUAAAAUUCCAUUUCCAUCUCCAUCUCCAAUCAUAUUUGUCCAACUGGCACAUUAUUUAUGUUGUUAAUUAUAUACGCAGCAAUAUUAACGUACAUCAUCUCUUGUUUGCGCACGUCCGGGCCGCUGCCACGGCUGGUCCUGACCAACCCGAACCCUCUUCAUCACCCGCGCGUGCUUCCCGCCCAAAACGGUCAGUGCCGCAUUCAUGCCCGGCCAGAGCGGACGCGACCUCUCACUGGCGCCGGCAUUGAAGCGGCACGCCGGCUGAGAGAGCAUCGCCCGCGCCACUUCCAGGUGCACGCGGCUGCUCCGCAUUCAAAGGUCGCAAUAGCCGGCUACAACAUGCAUGUAAAAAGUUCUUGGGAGUCCGUGCUAUAGCUAGCUGUCCUCCCCCAACUCGUCAAUCUCUUCCAGUAGUGCUAGUACUCCAUGGCACGAUCCAUCGACAAGCAGGCGGGAAAGUUAUCGUAUACUCGGUUUGCGGUGAGUGGCAUGCCGAGCGACUGUGUGGGGUCGAGCCGUGGAGGAGGGUGAGACACGAACACGACAGGCGUGAUUUAAACGUUGGUUUUGCUCGAUGGCGUGAUCCAACGAAACGAAAUGUUGGUUUCUCUCCGUUUCCAUUUUUUCUCCGGAAAAAUGGAAACUUUCCACUCCAUUUUCAUUCCUAUUCCAAGGUUGCCCCGUUACAACAUUCCAUCAAAUACAAAGGAAAACUAACACGCAUGCUGAUGCAUCUCAAUGAUUCAUAGAUCAUAGCCAAUAUUUACUUCACAACUAAAGAAAAAAGUUGUGAGAGCGUGUACGAAAGAAAAACUACUCAUGGGGUCACUACGACUUAAACCCUAAACCCUAAACAUGAUUUAAUUUCCUGGCCAGGUAGAACCUGUCGAAGGAAAGACGGCUGGCACCCUCGGAUCAUACGAUGCUUUUGUGCAGUUCCACUAAAAUCGACCUGAGCAUCCCUGAUGGCAAAGAUAUGGAAGAAGUGUGAUUAGGAUAAUAGUAUUGGCACUAGUUCAUGAGACAUAAACUCAUCACAAGUAGAAGCCGAUACAAGUAGAGAAAGAUCGACAUGGAGAUGGAGCUACGGCAGUGGAGCAAGCCGGCUCCAAAAGGAAGAUGGACUACUUGGGACGUCGGGCUGUAGCUAGAAGGGCGGUUGGGACGCGGCAUCGGCCCAUACCGCGGUGACCCCCGAUUGGGACGCACCGACUGUGGGUUUUCUCCCUCGCCGAUGUCGACCGCGUCUACGCAGAACAUUGUUCCCUUCCCCCAGCUGCGGGAUCAGGCCCGUCGUUCUAUGCUUGUGAAGAGAGCAACCUAAGCAAGCAGGCUUGUAGCUUAGGCUCCUGCUAGUGUAUAUAUAGUGGUUUUCUUUUUCUCUCCAUAUCAACCAUUUUAUAUUGCGUACGUGUCAUUCAAGAGUGAAAUGAUGGUUGCUUCUUCCGACUAACUUACUGUGUGAUUUGACUGCUCCUUAGUGGCCCCUACACGUACUCCCCCUAUGUGUAUGCAAUAGUCACACGUACACAUGGACGCAAAAACGCGCGCGACGCCCUAAUGCAUGCAUGUCCGAGCACACGACGGAACACACACGGUCACGCUCAAGUGCUCAACCUAUACGUGCAUGCACACACAUACUCGGUCAGGGUGAGCUAGUGACCGUAUAAACACCGGAAAAUAUAUAUAUAUUUAGCGCAAUGAGCGUAUUAUGAAGUCCACUGACCGUAUUUUUACAAAUAUACAGUGACAGGCAGUGUAUUUAUCUCGUUUGAAAUUAAGCCAUAUUAACCGGAGAGGAGGCAGUAUGGACUAGCAUUACUUUGCUGUGUCCCAUCAACUUGCCGAACGAGGAGAAGGUUGCAGGACGGGAGAAGCUUGCGCGCGGUGGCUCGCAGGACAAGGAGAAACUUUUGAUUAAUGCUAGCUCUCCCUCGCUCAGGCGGUGCACGUGCAACAGUUAAUUCGGUGUCAGAUUGCCAGAAGCAUACACUAUACUACUAGUGCUAUUAUUGUUCGACUUCCCGAAUAGGCGAACAGCCAAGCGCAAAGUUUACUAGUACUACUACUAUAGUCUAUAAAGGUACGUACUAUACUAGUACUAGGAACCGGAUGGAGGAGCGUCUGCACUCUUAUUAUAGUUUUAAAAUGUGAUAAAGCAAUCUUCAACACAUUUGGUUCUCUUCGAGGGUUCUCGCAUGUGAUAAUGGAAGUUGAUUGCAUGGAACACUCGCCACAAUUCUCGCUUAAUUCUGGCUCAUAUCCUGUUACAAAUAGUAGCGCUCGGUAAUAUUUCCUCUUUUUUUGUUAUUCAGCAUGUAAACAGGUCAGCAAACCUUGCGGCGCAUCUUCGUGCGAACCGUGCUUGCUGCACUUUGAAUGUGGCCGAGAGCUGGCUUGAUGAAACACCUCGCUUCCUACUUCUUUUUUUGCAGGGUACCUCGCUUCCUAGUGACCAAUGUCUUGGCUGAUCGUCCUAAGAAUGCUUAUAUAUGAAUAAAGCUCUCUCAUUUACCCGCAAAAAAGAUUAAGCCAUAUUAACCGGAAAGGAGGGAGUAUGGACUAGCACUACUUUUUGGUGUGUCCUGUCAACUCGCAGAACGAGGAGAAGCUUGCAGGACAAGGUGAAGCUCGCUUACGCCUUUUGACUAAUGCAACCUACCCUCGGUGGACAUGCAUCAGUCCAUUCGGUGUCAGAUUGUCAGAGGCAUACACUGUAGUACCCAACAUGCGGAGUACCAUCAUUGUUCGACUUCCCGAAGAGGCGAAGAGCCAAGCGCAGUAGUACGAGUAGUACUACUACUAGAACCGCAUGGUGGAGCGUCUGUACUCUUAUUUUUUUAUCUAUGAUAAAGUACACGUUUAUUCCGGAGAAGGGCGGAAAACGGCAGCCCAACAUGUAAUGAAUGAUAUCGAUCAACCAACCAUGCUCGAAUAUAUCUUGGCCUCCGUGCGAGCCCGUCUGUGUGUUCUCGCUCCUUGUCUCUCUCAAGGAACGGCGGGUUGGCUCUUUGUCGUCAAUUGAGAUCGGUUUGCUCACACUCCUGUCCCACAUGUCAGUGAUAUGCCAAGAGGAGGUGCGUUGACCGACUAGCCAUACGCGUACUUGGUUUUGCACCUUCAUACUACUCCUCCCUCCGUCACAGUUUAGAGGGCGCGCUUCAUUAUGAUGCAUUUCUCUCAAUGCAUUUCCACCACCAGAGAGACUGUAGACGCGUUUGGUUUAAUGCUCAAUUAAUUAGGGCGUGGUAACCGCAAUCAAGUCCACAAUUUUCUCUCCAUGUACUGUACUACUACGGAGUGGAGUAAGUGCAUGCAUGUGUGUACCCGGGGUGGAAGCACUGCAUGCAUAUGUGUACGCAUUAUUCCCUCUAGUAAUAGACGCCGUGCUAUAACUACCAAUGCUAUUUUUCAGGCCGAUCGCUAGUCGCCUUGGUCCCACAGAUUUUUUUCUUUUUUCUCAAGCGCGCUGUAUAAACAGUGACAGAUGGAGUAGUAUGAGCGGAUUCAAAGAAGAGCAUAUUGAUGGCUGCUUCUUCAGAGCAACUUACAGUGGGAAAGGUGGGGCUUAUGAUUUGACUGCUCAUUACUCACUAUUAAUGCGGCACAACGACCGGGCUGAGUCUCCCAUGCGGUUGUGCACUACCCCCUCGGUUCUUAAAUAUACUCCGGAGUAUUUGUCUUUCUAGAGAUUUCAACGAGUGACUACUCAAAUAUUUGUCUUUUUAGAGAUUUCAAAUGGACUGGCACAUACGGAUGUAUAUAGACAUAUUUUAGAGUGUAGAUUCACUCAUUUUGCUCCGUAUGUAGUCACUUGUUGAAAUCUCUAGAAAGGCGAAUAGAAUAUUUAGGAACAGAGGGAGUACACAUACGAAGCAAAAUGAGUGAAUCUACACUCUAAAAUAUGCCAGUUUGAAAUUUGUAAAAAGACAAAUAUUUAGGAACGAAGGAGUAUAAUUUUGUGCAUGGCACAUGGACCCGGAUGAUGAAGAGGCUUCUGGCAAUGCUAUCAAGCUUCCAUCAUUUGUUUACAUAAUUGACGUACUAUACAAAUAAUUUUCCAGCGACAUGAAAUUGUACAAUGGUGUGAGCUUUCAGCUUUUGUUUCGCGUGUCUUGCCAUCGAUGCUCUUUCGGAAACAAUAAAAAACUAACUUCCUUGCUAAUGCAUGUCAAUUAUUAGCAGAUCAGAGCUAAUAAUUACAUCACAACUGAAGACAGAGUUGUGAGAAGGUGUUAAAUUAAAAUUGAUCCAUGCUUUCAUUGGCAGCAACGUCCCCCCAGCUCUAUCUAAAUCAACAAGGCAUGUUGGGAAAAAAAGUAGCUAUCUGGAGCAUGCAACAUUUCAAUCAUUUUGUGCAGUUCCAUUAAAAUAGAGCUGAGCGUCCCUGUUCCAAAGAUAUUAAGUGUGAUUACGAUAAUAGAGGACUGCUGAUGAAACAAUAAACACACAAAUAGAAGCCGAUCACCUUUGCAGUCUCUCUUAAGACUAACUAGUUGGAGAAGAUUAGGCUCGGAGUUGGAUGAGGAGGAUAGAGCAAAACCAAUCUCCCUUUGUGCAGUCGCACUGAAAUGUAGAGACGUUGCCCGUGUGACAUUUUAGUACAACUGCACAAAACACUCGUAAGAAAAAAGUGAUUUGUGCAGUUCACCAAAAGGUCGCAAUAGCAACGAGUAGAAAGGAAACAAUGACUGGCUAAUAACAGUUGAUGACACAUGCGACGACAAAAAAGAAGCAUAUUCCUUGUCCUAAGGGAAGAUAACAACACGGUUGUGUUUGUCUAAAACGGUGUGAGGACGAGAAUGCAAUAUGGAAAGUACGCCGGACGAGCUACGUUUUGGGCAAAGAACUAUGGAAGAUCCACAUGCAGCGACGUGGGAAGACGGGCAGUGGAGCAAGGCCGGAGGGGAUACCUGGAGGUCGUCGGGAUGUAACUAGGUGAGCGGCGGCGGGCGGAAUCUGCGAGCAGGUGGCGUAGGCCCUGCCGCGCCGGAGCUUGGUCAGAGAGAACGGCGUGUACCGCAGAUCGGGACGUGCUGCCUCGGCGCCGUCAAACGGAGAAACGAUGCACUUCCUCCCUUUCCCCCGGCGGACGGGAUGCGGCCGGAUCAGUGACCAACGGUGAGAGAGAGAGAGGCCACCGCACUCCCUUUCCCCCGGCGGACGGGAUGCGGCCGGAUCAGUGACCAACGGUGAGAGAGAGGGAGGCCACCGCAGCCUUGUGUGAGAUACUCUGAAGAGCGACAAACCAGGCAGGCAGGCUCCAUUGUAUAUAGUGAGCGGACUACCUUUUUCUCCAUAAAAAUCAUUUUAUAUUCUCUGUACGUGCCAUUGAGUGUUAUAACUUUAUUUAAAAAUAACACGGCAACGCGUCAAGUCGAACUUUGUUUCGUGCACGCGUGGUACACGACCUCCCUAGGUAAACAACCGCUACAGACGUUCAAAUUAGCACGUGGGCCGCCAUUUCGUAAAGAAAUGAGCUCCACCGUGUACCCGCGCGGGUGUGGCUGGGCACGAAGCGUGAGUACGUGCACGGUGCACCUAUUCUCUUCUUGUAUACGUACACCACCUACGUGGGGUUGUGUGAGAGAGAUACAAACCUNNNNNNNNNNNNNNNNNNNNNNNNNNNNNNNNNNNNNNNNNNNNNNNNNNNNNNNNNNNNNNNNNNNNNNNNNNNNNNNNNNNNNNNNNNNNNNNNNNNNNNNNNNNNNNNNNNNNNNNNNNNNNNNNNNNNNNNNNNNNNAACAUAUGCAAUGUGUGUGAAAUAGAGUCCUGGAUAUAACAUAUAUAUAGAGGGGGCGAUCCACGAUAAGAGAGUGGAGGUAUCAUUGGCUUGAGGUGUCCAUAGAAUCGAAGAGAGGGAUGAUGUGUGUGUGUGCGCGCGCGCGAUCGAUAAAGAGUGCCAUCGAAUUUGUGUGUGCCCACGUCAAAGAUAUAGAGUGGCUGGCCUACUGGAAUGUGAGAUGGGACAUGUGCAGUUUGUCUCUGUGGCAUGGAUACCUACCUGCAGCGCUCGACUAUCGGUGUGUGGUGGGGGAAGAGGGAGGCCCAAUUAACUAUAGAGGUACAAUGGCUGGUAUAUGUGUGGAGGAGGAGAGAGGCCUACCUCAUGUAUUAAGGAGAUCGAUCUGCCUCAUGUAUUAAGGGAGAUCGAUCGGCAUCCAUGCAUAUGUGCAGGAGAGGAAUAAGGUUGGAAGAGAGACAGAGCUAGAGUGUUGGAGGGGGUGGUAGUGGAGUUGCUUCUAACAAAUGGUGGGAUAGGCUUGCUAGACAAACGGAGGGCACGCCCGCAAUAUCAAUAAGAGAGGAGAUGGCUGCUUGUUGUCUGUGCACGUGCGUGUGAGAGACGGGUCAGGAGGCAUGCACGAAUGAUGAGGGGGGAUGAUGUGGCUAUGCUAAGCAGACGUAACUACAUAGGAAGAUCAAUCGCCCUUUGUUAGAGAAAGGAGAGACAUAACUUGUGAGGUAUGUCGAUCGAUGGGGGGGGGUAGUUAAAGUCGAUCUAGGUAUAUGUUGGGAGAUCGAUCGGUAUACAUGCAUGUGUGUGUUAGAAGCAAAUGAGGCACGAGGAGAAGGAUAGAGAGAGAGGGAUGCAUGUAGGAGGUGGUACGAGAGGCAUACUAUAUCGAGGGGGGAGGAGUGUGCGAGUACGAGAAUAAUGAAAAGAGUGGUGGGAGUGAGGCAUGGACGGUGACAAGAGAAGAGGGGAAGCUUGUGUUUGUGCUAGGCACACCUGGCUAGAGAGGCAUAUCGAUCGAUGUGUGCCGUAAAGAAGGAGCUAGGGGGCCUACACACACCAUGGGUGAACGACCUAAAGUGAAAAGACGAAUUUGCGCGAUGGAGCUAGAGAAUGCUGAGGGAGGGUGAGAGGGAUGCGGGCGUGUGCAUGCACAAGAGAAAGUUAGCGCUAGCUACAAAGAUAAGAGGGUUGUGUGGGUGUAAAAGACGAAUAGAGAUCAUAUAUACUUCAUUAUAAAAAGCGAAUUCGGAUAUUUGAAGAAUUUAUCAUAGUGUUUCAAACCGACGCAUGUGUGAAUAUAUAUAACGGUGAUACACAUGGUGUGGUUAUGAACAUGUUAUACUACAUUUAAUAUAUUUUAUCUCUACUCUUAUAAAAAACGGAGUUGUUGAUGAUGGUGUGGCUGCCAUCCUGCAUUAUAGACCGUCCGAUUUAUAUCUGGCGGAUAGCAAGGAAACUAUGAUGGUUGAAGUUGGCAACAAUCAUGAUUGUUGAUUCUUAUUGAAAUAGAGAAACGAAUUCAAAUUUAGUUCGAAUUGCAGCGGUAGUAUAGACAUUUGGAAUGCACUAAAAUGUUGGUAUGAGUAGGUUACAUGCAUUAUACAACAAGCGAAAAAAUUUAAUCGGACAUAACAUGGAUUCAUACUCCCUCCUUCCAUCUAUAUAGGGCGUAAUGAGAUUUUUAAGACCGCCUUUGACUAUUGACAAGAUUAAUAGUACAUGACAUGCACAAUGUGAAAAUUAUAUCAUUGAAAGAACCUUUCAUAGACGAAUUUAAUGGUGCACUUUGUGUAACUUGCAUGUCAUAUAUCAUUGCUCUAAUAUUUGGUCAAAGUUAGCAUCAAAAAACGCAUUAGGCCCUAUAUAGAUGGAAGGAGGGAGUAGCUUUGAAUAGCAUUUGUAUAGUAAAACGGGGCAAGACUCUCUUUGUGUGGUGUGAAUAGUUUUAUUUUUUUCGUUUUCUUUUUAGUUGAGGGAAGUGCGAAUUGAUUUGGUACGUACAAGUACAAUAUUACUACACGUUAGGCUUGUCCCUAAAAUUCAACCCGUGUCUUGUUAUAUCCCGAAAAUUCAGAUAUCGUGCUCCCAAAACUGGCGCCUUCACAACCCGCGCCUUGCUAUCCCAAAAUUACAACGCACGCAAAAACUCCCUCCAGCUGCCAAAUCCCGACACGCGAAAUCCCCCUUCUAACCCUGAGCCGAAAGGGCCGCUAGUUCAAAUCGGUGGGGGGUACUUUUGUAACACACCCUACAUUUUGGACAAGCGCGUCCCUAAGUCAUGCUUCACCCCCUCCCAUCGCCCCCUUUUCGCCAUUCGAAAUCCCAGGCCGCCAUAACCUCUCCGCUCCAGCCGCGAAACCCCACCCUCCUCCGUCCGCCACGUCACCGCUGCCCAGCCGGAGCCUCUUCCCCGAUGACGUCGUCCACCACAACAGCUGGACGUCCCUCGUCCACCUCCCCGGAUGAGGAUCCAUCGUCCAUCUCGCCGUCCCGCCGGUUCAGCCGCCCCGUCCUCCACCUCCAAGGAGCUGCUCCGACGAUCGCCUCGUCUAUCGCGGGUGCUCCAUCCCCACAGCGCCGCCUUAACCUGCUCCACCGGAACCGCAACAUCCUCACCGACUCCUCGGACGAAGCCGAGGCCUACUCGGCACCACCAAAGAGGUUGUACACUCAUCGCAUCGCACCUUCUCCUUAACUCGACCUCCCGGCGCCGAUGGUGCUCCAUCCCGCACCCCCAUGGAGCGGCUACCUUGAAGCCGGCGCCGCGGGCGACAUCUCCAUGGUGGCUCUCCCCCAGUGCGAGGCCCCUUCGGCGGCGGCGUCCAUACCAGCUGGAUCUGCUGUUGCCGCUCCGGCUCUCGCUCGCUCGCACUGCUGCUGCUGCUCUGGCUCUCGCUCGAUCGCUCGCUCGCCCAGCUGCUGCUGCUGCUCUCCCCCUCGCUCGUGCUGCUCCUCUGCUCCGAUUAAGCCACACUUCAGUCGACUGAAUCGACUUUUGGGUCAGUCGAUUUUCAGGGGUUGGGGGGCUCGCCGGAGUUAAGGAAGAACCACCCGCAGCGGGGACGGGGGCUCGGCGGAGAGGUACCCCACUAUCUAUCUUAGGGUUCAGGGUGGGGGCGGGGGGCCUAGAGGGCUGGCCGGGGCGGCGGUGGCGAGUUGUUUCAGGGUGGCGAGGCGGCGCUGGGGCCGGCGGUUCGGCCGGUGGUGGCUGGUGGCUCAGGGGGGUGCAGGUUGAAGAUGAACUGCAGGCCCUCCCUAAACUACAUGUCAAGUGCCUCUGUGCUACCAUUGCGUUCAGUUUCGACAGUAGCAUUCAGAUUCCACAGUAAAUUUCAGUUUCGACAGUUAAGUUCAGAGUCAACAGUUUUUACCUCAUCUGUUGUAGUCAGGUGGUUUUUGGUGAUGUUAAUUUUACAUCCAUUUUACAUCAUCUAUUGGAGAUGCUAUUAGAAUCCCACUUGAGAUUUAUGAUGUCUGUCUUGUGCUGCUUCAGCCUUGACGUCUUACGGCUCACCGGAGCUGCUCCAACGACAGAACGAUCCGUCACAACAGAGCAGUGCCCUGGACGCCGUCUACAGAUUCCUCAGAUCUUCCUCCACACCUCCGACAACCACCUCUGCCUCAACUGCUUCAGCGACCAACCCAAUGAUGCUGAGGUCGACACGGCUACGGCAAAGAGGUUGUACACUUGUUGCAUCACUUAUUACUAUACAUUCACGUCGAUCCAUUAGGGCUAUUUUGGUUCAACGGAAAAACGUCAAUCCACUGGUUGUUACCAUCACUCUAAAUUUCUGCAUGCUCUCCUUACAUAAUCUCACCAUAUUUUUUUCGUAUGCAUGUCAGAUAUUGUACACAGUCAUGCGGAACAUGUAGAAAAAAAGAGAAGAGUUUUGCGCGGCAAUACAAUGUCAUGCAGACAUCGCUCCAUGCUGGGUUCAAUGGCAAACCCUCCCCACCCCUCUCCAGA
rnacentral:lncRNA from 1 species